rnacentral:lncRNA from 1 species
UUUCAAACUCAUUCUGGACUAUUGGUUGGAAUUUUUAAAAAUGACACUUAUGUGUGGGACCCAAAUCACACUGCCUAUAUGAACAAACAAACCUUGCACAACCAGCUUACGUAGAAAAGAUUCCAUAUUCUAUGUCAAUAGACUCGUGACAUCCAUGUACUGAGUCAUCAAAUGAGCCACGUUACAAAAGCCCAAGCUUCUCACUUUUUAUAAAAAAAACCUCACACAGAAAUUUUGACUGUGCCUUGAGUCUGGAACGUCAAAUUUGAUAGGAUAUAACCGUUCAUAAGCGUAUACAGUAUUCUGUAUGAAAAAAUUUCAAUUCUUCAGCUGGUGCUGGUGCAUUUGCUUAAGCAGCCAACUGGUCGCUUCAUGACCUGGCUUGCACAACUGGUAUCGCUUAGGCUAUUCCUUUAUCUCUUAAGUGAUGGAUACUUAAGCGGCCAAAAGUUGCUUAAGUGACAUGUGCAGAAGUUGCCAAUGUCAUGAAAGCAGAUACUGGGCCGCUUAAGGGGUAGCCGCUUAAGCGGUACCUGGAACUGUCAAAUACCCCAUUUAGCCCAUUUUCUCCUAUUUUUCACACAUUUUCCAGAAUUUAAAACCCUAAAAUGUGUGAUAACUUGGGAGAGAUAUUAGUAGGUGAUUUUUGCGAGAUCAUAAGCUUGGAUUACUUAUUUUUCUCUGAAUUCUUGGUAAUUUUUCAUCAAUUUCAUGGAUUAAUUUCUCAUAGUUGCCCUAAUCUUCCUAGAACAUUGGUGGGUUGAUUAUAGACCUAUUUGAGCUCAAAAUUUACCCAUUCAUGAGGGUAACUAUUCCUUGAUCAUAGAGGGACGCAUUGUUGGUUUUGAAAGAGCAAUUCUGCAAAUAGGCCCCAUAUAAGAUUUUUAUAUAAUUUUAGACCCAAGGCACAAAAUCAUAAUAUGGGUAUCAUUGUUCUCGUUUGAUGAGUAGAUUAUGAUUUUAAUAUUAUGGAAUCUUAUGGAAGGUUCUUUGAAGAGAAAAUUGAUGAUUUAACAGAUUUCUUUGGCAUCCAGGUAGGCAAGGUUUAUCCUCCCCAUAGAAUGAUCUAAUUCAUAAUAUAUUUAUGAUAUUAUGCAAGAUAUGGUAUGAGAAUUAGAUAUUAGAGAUAUAAUUGGUAUAAUUAGCAUUAUUUCGACUGUAAAGCUAUUUUAGAACCAUAAAUUAGGCAUACUUGACUCGGUUAUUCAUGUUUAGGUAGAAUUUCUAUCUUAGGGAUAAUUGUGGAUUAUUUGGCAUCUAAAAGUAAAUUUAGAUAUCUUAUCCUAGUUUGGGAUAGAUUUUGCCUUAGAACAGGCUUUAGAGAUUAGAAGUAUCCCUCUCCAACCCACUUUAGGACAAUAAUCUUGUUAGCUCCGUGUAGACCUAAUGAGCGUAUUGUAUCCUUAAAGCGGCAUAUUUUAGAGUUGAAGAGGCUAGAUUAUUGAUGUUUAUACUAGUUUGGUACUUGUGAGUUGAUAUGAGUUCUAGUUCAAGUGAUAAUUUAUUAAUAUUGAGUUCAGUUCAAGUCUGGAAGUUGAUGCCAUGGGUUUUGAUUCAUGUCAGGUAAAUGAUGAUGAUGAUUAUGAUAUGAGUUCCUAUUCGAUUCCGAUAUUAAGAGGUUAUUUAUGGUAGGUUAUGGCACAGAUAGAUUUAUGAUUAUGGAUUAAUUUUUGAUAAAUUUAUGAAAUUUUGGUCAUUUACUUUGUUGAUUGGACCUUUCGGACUUAUGGGGCCCGCGUUGGGUUAUUUAUUUUUUCAUACUCACUAGCUUAUGGGGGCCAGUCUUAUAGUAUUAUUUAUGAUUUCUUUAAUAUUAUAUACAUUCCGAUUAUUUAUUUAUAGUAUUGGAGCAUUAUUCUAGCUUCGCACUUUUACCUUGACUUAGCUUAUUUAUCUUGCAUCUUUAUUGUACUUAUAGUAUGAUUUAGCUCAGUCAGAUGAUAACGCCUAUAGAGUGCCCAUGGAAUUAAUACUCAUACUACACUUCUAUAUAUUUUUGGUAUAGAUUCGAGUACUAGUGGCCAAUGUUAACACUGAGAUUGUGUUGCAUUGAGUUUGGACAUAGGGUGAGAUCUCGGAGUCAGAGUUGCCUUUUUUCCUUUUACUAUUUAUGUCUAGUCUUUCACUAUUCAAGAAUGAUGUAUAUUGACUAUUACAACACCUAUGUUCUUUUUUCUAGAGGCUCUUGUACCUACACUACUAGGUCAUGGGAUGUUACAUUUAUUUUAUCUAUCUUUUAGACUAUCAUUACUAUUUUAAUUAUUGUUGUAAGUCUAUACUUGUAAAUUUCUCACUUUUAUGCCUUUUCCACCAAAUUUGCCCAUUUCUUAAAGCUUAGAGCUACGAUUUAGAUUACCUACUUGUAGGAUAAAGUAGGUACAUGAUUUGUAAAUCGAGUUAUGAUAAAUAUAAUAUUAGAGCCUAGGUUCACUAGUAUUAUUAAUACAAGAGCAAGUGUCUAGUAAAGUACGUGAUUGUAAAUCGAGUUAUGAUAAAUAUAAUAUUAGAGCCUAGGUUCACUAGUAUUAUUAAUACAAGAGCAAGUGUCUAGUAGAGUCCCACAGACUAGAAUCAAGACUUUUAUUUCUUAUCUUUAGGAGGUUAUAGGGCAUUCUUAGGAGUUCUUAACUUCUUUCACUCAUUUCGUGCUAAGAGUUUAAGUUGGUUUUAAAAGAUUCCUUUAGUUUUGCUCUUUCACAGAUGGCUAGGACACGUGCUACUGCUAUACGAGACGAGGAUCCUGAGUCUGAGCCUAGAUAUUCUGUUGUUGUUAGCGGAUGACAUAGAGGUCGAGGAAAUCUUAGGGAUGAAUCCCCAGCCAGGGACCAGGAUAUGUGGCCUUCACCAGAUUUAAUUCCUACUCUUGAGCUAGAGAUUUUUCUACCUCAGCCAGCGAUGGUCUAGGGACCUGGCCAGGCUCUAUUAGGGUUUAUAUAUUCUUGAGUGCUCAGGGAUACAUUGGUUCAAAUUUUGAGAUUAGUUGGUGGUGCACCGCUUGUGUAAUACCCCAUAUUUCGCUAGCAUAAUUUAAAUCUCAAUACAUGAGUAUUCAUACAUAAUUUUUUUGAAAUACUCAAUAUUCCUCAGUUUAGAGGCUACCAAGUUGUUGGAAAUUGAACUAGCUUUCCAAAGAUAUAAGAUUCACCUUAAUCCGAUAAAUGAGUAAGAAGUUAUGACAAUUUUAAGUUUCAGUAUAAAACACCGUGAUUUGGGCCCGUAGCGCAUCUCAGAGAAGUGUAAAAUCACAGUUGUCACUUUCCAGUGAAGCUCCGUGAUCAUGGUGCAUUGCGGAGGAGUCCUAUUUUACAUUUGGCAAUUUUCAGUGAGCUAACGCGAUGUCACCUCAUCACGGUGAGCUUCCAGGUCUCAACCAGUGGAAGACCGCAAUCCCACCGCAUUGCGCCAAUGGCCAAAAUGGCACUCAUUAAUUUCUAGUGGCAUGAUGCGAUCUUGGCGCGUCACGACGGAGCCAAAAAUCGGGGUUUUCAGUUUCCAUCCCAAGUUUGUAAUUUCAUUUAGGGGUAUUUGAGUCUUUUUCCACGGCCCUAAUCAACCUAAAACACGAGAUUUAACCCUUAAGUGACCUAAAUAAUCAUCAUUUAUUCAAUUUCUCUCAAAUUGAAGAUCCCCUUUCCCAAGAACAAGAAACCCUAGCUCUUAAAUUCAAGGCCAAACCUCAAGAACUCUUCAUCAAUCCUCUCAAAUUCAUUAACCCUAGUAUGUUAGAUGUUCAUCCAUGGAUCCCUUUUACCCAUGGAGCCCAAGUACCUGAUUUUAAUUACGAAUUUAUAAUCUUUUCAAGUUACUUUGAUUUUAAAUUAAGUAUUCAACCAUGAAUUGUAAUACCCUGAGAAUCCCAACCAAUAGUCGAACUAUGCUUCAAGUUCAUGAGAAAUAAAUUAUAGUGCUUUGGUGGUUUUAUGAUUGAGUUUUAUGUGUAUUAAGGCCUCAAAUAACUCCUAGCUUUUAUACGAAUCAAAAUACCCAUUACCAAUUGAGUUCUAGUAAAGGAUGCUGCUAUAGUCAGCUUCAAACGAGCAUAUUUUUUGUUAUACUAAGAAUUUUUAAGCUCAUGGCACACCAACAAAUAUAUAAUUGAAUUAUAUCUCCACGAUACCAAUUUUGCCAAAAUACGAUAUUUGAGUAAAAAGUUAUGCCCUUUUUACCAUAGAGAUGUCAGCCUGCCGAGGUUCGACGACCAGGCUGACGGACCGUUAAGCUAGUGAUGGACCGUCAACCAAAAUGUUACAACUCAAGCAAUAAGCUCAUUUUUUGGCCAUAAAAUGAUGGUUUGAGUGACGGUCAGUCACCAGAGUAACAGUCCGUCACCAAAAACAUAAACCAAGUCCGAAAAAGUGUUGUAACGACAUUUUAAUGAGAUUGUUUGGUCUUUUUCCACCCUUUUUAAACCCUAAUUCCAUCAAAUUAACUAACAUAACUCCUCAUUCAUCCUUAACAUAGAAAUUAGGGUUUCUUUCAAGAUCAUUCCCCUAGAACAAGAUUCAAACCCUUCUUCAAGAAACUAAGAAAUUCAAGUUCUUUAAGUUCAAGAACCAUCAAGAAAACAUCAAGAUUUGUGUUUCUUAAUCCAAGAACGUUCAAGAAAUGUUAAUUCUCUUUUAAUAUUAAAGCUUUAAGGUAUGUUACAUGUUCAUCGAUGGGCCCUUUCACCCAUAUACUCCAAGAAUCCAUCCUUUAUGUUUAAAAUCAUGAAAUUUCACAUUUAUAAUGAUUUGUCUCCAUAAAACUUUUAUGAUCUUGCUUAUAAAUGAUGUUUACAAUCUAUUUUCAUUGAAAGAAGCCCUUACUACAAAUUUCAUGAAUUAUGUCCAUGAACUUACAUGAAUUUUGAAUCUUUAUCAUGUUUCCAUGAAAUUAUCCUUACAUGUUUAAAUGGUGUUGUUUGUUGAAUUUAAACCCUAAUUUGUGAUCUUAGAAGUGAAAUCAUGCUAUUACUAUAAGUUUUAAAAACUAUUCCCAUGCUUAGUUUAAACCUCGAACUACAAGUGUUUGAUGAAAUGCCUAAAUGAGUGGGUUUUGAACAAUGACUACUUAUUAUAUGCUUACAAGUUAAAAUUUUGGAAUUUGUUUUCAAGUGGAAUACAUUAUAAUAUGUUUUAAAUAUUAUGGUUUCUAUAUCAUGUUCAUGAGAAAUUCGGAAUAAAUCCUUAGUUUAUGAUUUUAUUAUGUGAUCUUGCUAUCUCAUCAUGUCUAGAGAUAUCUUCUUGUUAAAGUCUUGGUCCCCAUGUAUUUGAUGAAAUGCUUAAGUGAAUAAUUGUUAACAAUAAUUUCCUUUCAUGGUUUCAAAGCUUUUAUAUGACCCUAUUGUUAUUGUUGUCGAGUCCUGGGGGUUAUGAAUACCCAAAAUUUAGCUACUUACUUAGUCUCAGUAGUUUCAGAAUAGUUUUAGACGCAUAUGAGCAUAUUCAGCCAGUUAGCCAUCGUGAUUAGUUACUUGUCCAAUUAAUCUUAGCUCAGUCCCGUAAUCAGUGUCAGUUCAGUUGGGAGUAGAAUUCAGCAUCGAGUGAGCCUAGGAAUGAGGGCUCACAUGUUAGUUAGGAAUGAGUCCUUAGAAGCAAUUCCUAAGUUCCAGAACUACAUAGCCGGUAUAGGUUAUGAGAUGUCACCCAUUAGUUAGGACUGACACUCUCAGGGAUCACCUGCUAGUUACGACUAAUCUCAAGAGUCACCCGUUAGUUAGGACUGACCCCACAACUAUUGUUAGUACCCAUGGCAUGGUACUAGCACUCUUCUAACUUUGGUUACAGGUUGGACCCCAAUCGGUUCAGAUUUAGGCAUUUCAGUUAAAUAAUACCUCCCACCAUUUCAGUUACAGUCUCAGUCUAGUAAUCAGUUUAGUAAUUCAGUUAUAGUUUGCUUGACAAUAGCAUACAGAUAUCAUACAUUCUAUUAUUAGAUUUUUGUAUUUUAUUAUUUACAGAUUUUAUUUAGAACAUGUUAUAUUCUUGGUCAUGCAUCCUCAGUACUUACAGAUUUUAUGUACUCUAUUCAGUAUUACACGUUACAUAAACUUACAUACAUACAUUCAAAUAGUUAUUAUAUAUAUUCAUGAAACCAUGCAUAUCAGCCUACCUCAUUUAGCAUACCAGUACAUUAAAAGUACUGAUCGCAUACUCUUUUUUUGUGCUAUGAUGUUUCAUAUCGUAGGUUCGAACGCUCAGGUUCUCGACUGUACGUAGUUAUCCUAGUAGACCAGUAUCAGUAGCAAUGGUGAGUCCUCACGUUUCGAGGACCAGUUAUGUUUAUUUUAGUUUCUCCGUUUGAGUAGACAGGUGGAGUUAGUUGGGGGCUUGUCCCAUCAGCUCCUCAAUUAUUCAGUUAGAGUCUUUCAAACUAGUACAGACAGUUAGUUAGUUUUUAGAUUUUAGUUGUCAUUAUCAAUUUUGUUUUAUAGACUUAUCAGAUUUAUGACUUAAAACCUUAUGGAAUUCCUCAGUUUAUUUCUAUAUAUGAUCUUUUGGUAUCAUUUUUACUCAGUACUCACAGCAGGUAACAGCUCAUGGGUUAGCUUGUGGUCCCUCGGGACUAUAAGCACCAUGUAGCACCUAGGGUGUACUUUUGAGGCGUUGUAUGAAUCUCCAUGAACUAUGAUUCUACACCAUGUAUAAAUAAAAUUUUGUUGUCAUUCAACUCCCCAUGUUUUAAUGUUAUCAUUCAUUGUAUUAAAUCAUGAUUUAGUGCUAUUCAUGCUGAAUUCAUGCUAUUACUACAAAUCCCAUAACAUUUCAAUGAUUUGAUUAAGCCACGAACUGUAAGUAUUUGAUAAAAUUCUUACAAGAAUGAGUAUUUAAUAAAGGUUUUUUAUGCUAAGUCCUCUAAGUUUAAUAUUUUGUUACUAAGUUUGAUUUUGGUCCUGGGGGUAUUGAAUACUCAAAAACCAUAGUUGUUUUACUUAUCCUUGUCUCAGUAUCUUCAGAAUAACUUCAGAAUAUAUAUUAUGAGCAUUACUAGAUCAGUCAGUUAACCUCAGAAUAGUCAGUAACUCAGCAUCAUUCAGUUGGAAGUAGGAUUUAGCACCGAGGAAGUGUAGGGAUGGUGGCUUCCCCGUUAGAUAAGAAGAGUCGCUAGUAACAAUCCCUAAAAUCUAGAACUACAUAACCAGCAUAGGAUAUGAGAAGUCACCCAUCAGUAUAGGAUUGACUAUCUCGCAGGGGUCACCCGUCAGAUUAGGCUUGAUACCCUUAGUCUUUCGGGACAACAUAGUAUACCAGUUUAGUAGAUCCACAUAGCUAGCAUUAGUACCCAUGGCACGGUACUAACACUCUUCCAACUAGGGUUACAGGUUGGACCCUAGUUAGCUAAGAUUGGGGUAUAUCUAUUAGAUGAUACCUCCCACAGUCUCAGUCACAGUCUCUGUUCAGUUAUACAGUUUAAGUUGUUUGACCAUGGCAUAUAGAUAUCAGUGAUUCAAUAUCAGAUUUUAGUAUCUACAGACUAUAUUCAGAAUAUGUUAUAUGCUUGGUCAUGCAUUUUUAGUAUCUACAGCCUUUCAUAUAUACUCAAUAUUUAUAGAUUUCACUUAUUCCCAUGUAUCUAUAGAUUUUAUGCACUCUACUUAGUACUUCACAUCUUAUAUGUACCUUCAAAUUAUUAUUAUUCCUAUUCACAAAACCACACACAUUAGCCUACCUCAUUUUGCAUACCAGUACAUUUAAAGUACUGAUCGCAUACUCUUUUUUCGUGCUAUGAUGUAUUAUAUCAUAGGUUCCGAUGUCUAGUUCCCAGAUCGCUCAUAGAUUUUACAGGCCCUCAGCAGUAGUAGUGGUGAGUCCUCAUAUUUUGAGGACAAAUUAUUUUAGUUCAUGUCUCUAUUUUUGUAGUUAGUGAAGUUAGUUGGGUCCUGUACCAUCAACUCUCAGUUAGUCAGUUUAGAUGAUUUUCAGAUACUAUAAUCAAUUAUUUAGUAUUUAGACUUCAGUUGACAUGUCAGUUAGUUAUUCAGUUUAUCUCAGAUUUUAGUAUUUAUUCAGACUCAAAUAGUUAUUUUUUUCGAUUCAUAAUUCAAUAUUUGUUUCAAUUAUUAAAACCUUAUGGCACUUCAGUUAUUUUUUUGCAUUUAGGGUUAUGUUAUUCAGUGCUCACAGCAGGUACCAACUCAUGGGUUUACUUGUGGUCUCUCAUCACUGUAAGCACCGUGUGACACCGAGGGUGUAAUCUCGGGGCAUUACUAACUUGGUAUCAGAGCCUAAGGUUUUAAAGUGUCCUAGGAAGUUUGAAAGCCAUGUCAAGUAGAGUCUUGUGCAUGGGUGUAUAGCACGCCACACUUAUAGGUAAAAUACUACAAGGCAUUUAGGAAAAAGUUUCCCUUCUUUCAGUAUUCAUAUCGUGUGACUGAGCAUUAGCUCAUGUUAAACGCUCUGUAUAAUCUAAUCUUCCUUCUAUUUACAGAACAUGCCUCCCAAAAAGAAUAACAAAAUAGGAGUAGGAAACCAGCCAACACCUCUACCCGUCCAGGCAGAUCCUCUGGAUGAACAUAUUUCUCAUACAGAAUUCAAAGCUGUAUUCACCACUCUAGCGAACUUUGUAUCAUCUCAGAAUAAAUGGCCAGCUGCUAUUCAAGCUAACCCAGUGGCCAAUACUGCUAAAGUCAGGAUUCGGGACUUCACCGAAUAAACCCUCCUUCCUUCACGGGGUCCAAGUAUGAAGAGAAUCCAUAAGAAUUAUUAGAUGUGGUAAAGAAGGUAACAUAUAUUGUGGGGAUAAAAUCUAGUGAGAGUGUUAUGUUGGCUACAUAUCAAUUAUAGGAUGUAGCCCAUACAAGGUUUAAGCAGUGGAAGGUAGAUAGGGGUGUUGAUGUAGGGCCUGUAGAAUGGAAAGAGUUUUCUACAACUUUCUUAGAUAUAUUCUUCCCAUUGGAGUUGAAGGAGGACAAGGUGUUAGAAAUUAUUAACUUGAGGUAGGGAAACAUGAGUGUGAAGGAGUAUUCCCUCAAAUUUACUUAGUUAGCUAGAUAUGCUCCUCAUGUAGUAGCUGAUAGUAGGUCCAAGAUGAGUAAGUUUGUGUCUGGUGAAUCUGAAAGUAUGGUCAAGGAACGUAGGACCACAAUUCUAAUUAGAGAGAUAGACUUGUCUAGGCUGUUGGUUCAUGCUCAACAGAUAUAGGAGUAGAAGAUUAAAAAGAAAGAGAGGGGGGAUCAAGAAGGUUAGAACAUGUAGUUUUAAUUUCAGUCAGCCAAGGUUAAAAGGUGGUAACCAUCCCCAAUUCCAUUAGAGGUCUUUAGCCCCAACACCCUUUUCAGCCAGUGCCCUAGUACCCAAAUUCAGAAAUGAUAAUAGGGAUAGGGCACCAGGCUCUAUGUCCCAAGGCAGUGUUAACAGUGCCCAUACAAAACCUCUAUAUCAAAAAUAUGGCAAACACCAUCAGAGUGAGUGUAGAGCGGGCAGUGAUAUAUGCUUUGUGUAUGGAAAACUAGGUCAUCGAAUUCAAGAAUGUCAGGUAGUUACUCAGAAAGGUAGAGAGUUGCGCCAACAGGGCCAGUCCCAUCAGUCGUCAAUUCCAGUCGGUUGCCUGACUUAGCAGGGUGCCGCUUCCAAUGCUACUACGGGAUAGUGUUCGAAUGGAUUAUAUGCUCUUCAGUCCCGCCAAGAUCAGGAAAACUCUCCUGACAUAGUUACCGAUACGUUGCAUGUCUUUCAUUUGCAUGUUUAUACUUUACUAGACCGUGGAGCUUUUCUUUCUUAUAUAACUCCAUAUAUAGACGUCAAAUUCAGAGUCAAUCUUGAAACUUUAGUAGAACCUAUUUCAGUGUCCACCCCAGUAGGUGUCUCCAUCGUGUCCAAGCAGGUAUAUAGGAAUUGUCCAGUCAUAAUAUCUUAGAAAGUUACUUCAGUUAAUCUCGUGGAGUUAGAAAUGAUGGAUUUUGAUGUUAUUCUUGUCAUGGAUUGGCUCCACUCAUGCUAUGCCUCAGUUUUUUGUACGAACAAAAUAGUUCAUUUUUCGUUCCCAAAUAAACUAGUCCUUGAAUGGAGGGGUAGUACUACAACUCUUAGGGGUCAUCUUAUUUUGUACCUUCGAGCAAGAAAAAUGAUAUCCAAAGGGUGUAUUUACCAUCUUGUUCGAGUCAAAGACUCUAGUUCAAAAACUUCAACUCUUGAGUCAAUUCCAGUUGUAAAUGAAUUCUCAGAUGUAUUCCUGAAGAUCUUCCAAGAGUUCUUCCUGAAAGGGAGAUAGACUUUGGAAUAGACCUUCUUCUAGAUACUUAGCCUAUCUCUAUUCUGCCAUAUAUAAUGGCUCCAAUAGAACUUAGAGAGUUAAAGAAAUAGUUAAAGGAUCUUCUAGAUACAGGAUUCAUCAGACCCAAUGUCUUUUUAUGGGGUACACUAGUUUUAUUCAUGCAUAAGAAAGAUACUUCUCUUAGAUGUGUAUUAACUACCGUCGGUUGAACAAAGUCAUAGUCAAGAAUAAAUAUCCACUUCCUAGAAUUGAUGACCUGUUUGACCAACUUCAGGGUGCCAGCUAUUUUUCUAAGAUAAACCUCAGAUCUGGCUAUCAUCAACUCAGAGUCAGAGAAUAUGACAUUUUGAAAAUAGCUUUCUAAACUCAGUAUGGUCACUUUGAAUUUCUAGUCAUGUCCUUUGGUCUUACAAAUGCCCCAGAAGCCUUCAUGGACGUGAUGAACCGAGUGUUCAAGCAGUACUUGGACAUGUUCAUCAUAGUCUUCAUUGAUGACAUUCUUUUUUACUCUCGUAGCAAAAAUAAUCAUGCAGACCACCUCAAAAUAGUACUUUAGACUCUCAAAACUCAUCAAUUAUUCACCAAAUUUAGUAAGUGAAAAUUUUGGCUAAGGUUAGUAGCAUUCCUUUGUCAUAUUAUUUCCGAUGAUGGCAUUAGAUUUGAUCCUUAAAAUAUCAAAGCGAUGAGAAACUGGAUCAGACCUAUUUUUCCAUUAGACAUUAGGAGUUUCUUGGGUUUGGCUGGCUAUUAUCAUUGGUUUGUUGAAGGGUUUUUAUCUAUUGCAUCCCUCAUGUCCAAAUUAACUCAGAAGAAAGCCAAGUUUCAGUAGUCAGAUUCCUGCCAGAAGAGUUUUUAGGAGUUGAAGACUCGACUCACCUCAGCCCCAGUUCUUACUUUGCCAGAUAGUUCAUACGGGUUUGUUGUGUACUGUGAUGUAUCCAGAGUAGAUUUGGGUUGUCUCCUCAUGAAGAAAGGUAAGGUUAUAGCCUAUGCCUCUAGACAGAUUAAACCCCAUGACAAGAAUUAUUCAAUUUAUUAGCUUGAGUUAGCAGUAGUAGUAUUUGCCUUAAAGAUUUGGAGGCAUUUCUUGUAUGGGGUGCAUGUUGAUGUGUUCAUAGAUCACAAGAGUUUAUAGUAUGUGUUCUCUUAGAAAGAUUUAAAUUUGGAUCAGAGAAGGUGGUUAGAGUUAUUAAAAGAUUAUGACAUGAGUGUUCUGUAUCAUCCGGGCAAGGCUAAUGUAGUAGCUAAUGCUCUCAGUAGAGUGUCUAAGGGUAGUAUUGCUCAUGUUGAGGAUGGUAAGAGAAAGUUAGCUCAGGAAGUUCAUNNNNNNNNNNNNNNNNNNNNNNNNNNNNNNNNNNNNNNNNNNNNNNNNNNAGUUAGAGUUAUUGAAAGAUUAUGACAUGAGUGUUCUGUAUCAUCCGGGCAAGGCUAAUGUAGUAGCUAAUGCUCUCAGUAGAGUGUCUAAGGGUAGUAUUGCUCAUGUUGAGGAUGGUAAGAGAAAGUUAGCUCAGGAAGUUCAUUAGUUUGCCUGACUAGGUGUCCACUUAGUCGAUUCAAUAGAAGGUAGUGUAUGGGUGUAGAGUAGUUCAAAAUCAUCUCUAGUUUCCAAUGUGAAGGAAAAAUAGGAUAGGGAUCCCAGCCUAGUUAAGUUGAAAGAAUCAGUCAGAGAUCAGAAUGUGGAGGUUUUCUCCCAAGGAGGAGAUGGUGUUCUGCGUUGUCAAGGUCGACUAUGUGUACCUGGUGUAGAUGAUAUAAGGCAACAAACUCUCGCAGCAACGCAUGGUUUGUGUUACUUGAUUCAUCCAGGUUCCACUAAGAUGUAUCGUGAUUUAUGGGAAGUCUAUUAGUAGAGUGGGAUGAAGAGAGAUAUUCUAUAGUUCAUAGAUAAAUAAUCUACAUAUCAACAGGUUAAGAUUGAUCGUCAGAAGCCAAGUGGAUCCAUGCAGAAGUUCAGUAUUCCCAUUCGUAAGUAGGAGGAAGUGAACAUGACUUUUGUGAUAGGUUUGCCUCGUACCUAUUAUCAACAUGAUUUUAUUUGGGUUUUCGUAGAUAGGAUGUCCAAAUCAACUUAUUUCUUGCUAGUCCAUACCUUUCAUUCAGCCGAGGACUAUGCCAAACUCUAUUUCAGAGAGUUGGUUAGGUUGCACGAUGUUCCCUCAUCUAUCAUCUCAGAUAGAGGUACCUAGUUUACCUUUUAUUUCUGGAAAGCAUUCCAAAAAGGUCUUGGUACCUAAUUCCAUCUCACCAUAACCUUCCACCCUCAGACAUAUGGUUAAGCAGAAAGGACCAUCCAGACUCUUGAAGAAAUGCUGAGAGCAUGCAUAGUUGAUUUUAAAAGUAGUUGGGAUGACUACUUUUCUUUGAUCGAAUUCGAAUAUAAUAAUAGCUAUCAUUCCAAUUUCUAGAGGUCUCCAUUUGAGGCUCUUUGUAGGAGGAGAUAUAGAUCUACGAUUGGUUAGUUUGAAGUGGGUGAGGCUGUAGUAGUAGGGCCUGACUUGGUUUUUAAUGCAUUAGAAAAGGUCCAGUUGACCAGAGAAAGGCUUAAAGCAGCCCCAAGCCGACAGAAAUCCUAUGCAGAUGUGAGGAGAAAAGAUCUGGAGUUUCAGGUCGGUGAUUUUAUUUACCUAAGGAUCUUGCCCAUGAAAGGAGUGAAGAGGUUCAGAAAGAAGGGAAAUCUCUGUCCCUGAUAUGUUGGUCCCUAUAAAAUUCUCAGUCAUUUCGAAAAGAUAGAUUAUGAUGUUGAGUUGCCUUCAGAUCUAGCUUCAGUACACCCAGUGUUCCAUGUUUUAUUGUUGAAGAAGUGUAUCACUGAUCCAAUAGUCGUCAUUCCCUUAGAGAGUGUAGAUUUUCAAGACAGUCUUUCCUACGAGGAAGUCCCAGCCAAAAUUCUCGACCGUUAAGUUCAUAGACUAAGGAACAAAGAAGUUCCACUAGUCAAAGUUCUUUAGCAAAAUCAGUCCGUUGAGGGUGCUACUAAGGAAAUAGAAGCAGAUUUAUAGACCAAGUACCUCAUCUUUUAUCCGCAAACUCGAAUUCAGUCUAAGGUAUUCAUCUCCUUAAAAUUUCUCUUUAUCAUGCUCAGUUUUAGUUGCACAUCAUGUUCAUAUCAGUCAUGCAUUCAUGAAUCAUUUAAGUCAUGUAAUCCAUGCAUCAGAUAUGCAUGUUCAGUGUGUAAUCUCAAUCCAUCAGUUUCUCAGCUUAAUCAGUCUUAUUUGAGGAUGAAUGAUCCCAAGGGGUAGAUGUUAUAAUACCUCUUAUUUCCCUAGCAAAAUUUAAAUCUCAGUACAUGAGUAUUCAUACAUAAUUUUUUUGAAAUAUUCAAUAUUCCUCAGUUUAGAUCCCACCAAGUUGUGGGAAAUCGAACUAGCUUUCCAAUGAUAUAAGAUUCGCCUUAAUCUAAUAAACGAGUAAAAAGUUAUAGAGAUUUUAAAUUUUAGUCAUAAAGCACCAUGAUUUGGGCCCGUAGCGUAUCACGGAGAAGUGUAAAAUCACAAUUUUCACUUUUUAGUGAAGCUCCAUGAUCAUGGCGCAUCGUGGAGGUGUCCCAUUUUACAUUUAGCAAUUUUCAGUGAGCCAAUGCGAUGUCACCACAUCACGGUGAACUUCCAGGUAUCAACUAGGGGGAGACCGCAAUCCCACCGCAUCGCGUCUAUGGCCAAAAUAGCACUCAUUAAUUUCCUAUGGCCCGACGUGAUCUUGGUGCGUUGCACCAGAGUCAAAAAUCUAGGUUUUUAGUUUCCAAUCCGAGUUUAUAAAUUUGAUUAGGGGAAUUUGGGUCUUUUUCCAUAGCCCUAAUCAUCCUAAAACAUGAGAUUUAACCCCUAAUUGACCUAAAUAAUUAUCAUUUAUUCAAUUCUUUUCCAUCAAUCCUCAAAUUCAAGGCCAAACCUCAAAAACUCUCCAUCAAUCCUCUUAAAUUCAUUAACCCAGGUAUGUUAGAUGUUCAUCCAUAGAUCUCUUUCACCCAUGGAGUCUAAGUACCUGAUUUUAAUUACGAAGUUUUAAUAUUUUCAAGUUACUUUGAUUUUAAAUUAAGUAUUCAACCAUGAAUCUCCAUGAACUAUGAUUCUACACUAUGUAUAAAUGAAAUUGUUGUUAAUCAACUCCCCAUGUUUUAAUGUUAUCAUUCAUUGUAUUAAAUCAUGAUUUGGUGCUAUUCAUGCUGAAUUCAUGCUAUUACUACAAAUCCCAUAACAUUCCAAUGAUUUGAUUAAGCCAUGAACUGUAAGUAUUUGAUAAAAUUCUUACAAGAAUGAGUAUUUAAUAAAGGUUUUUUAUGCUAAUUCCUCUAAGUUUAAUAUUGUUUUACUAAGUUUGGUUUUGAGUCCUGGGGGUAUUGAAUACCCGAAAACCAUAGCUGUUUUACUUAGCCUUGUCUCAGUAUCUUAAGAAUAACUUCAAAAUAUAUAUUAUGAGCAUUACUAGAUUAGUCAGUUAAACUCAGAAUAGUCAGUAACUCAGUGUCAUUCAGUUGGAGUAGGAUUUAGCACCGAGCGAGUGUAGGGGUGGUGGCUUCAUCGUCAGAUAGGUAGAGUCGCUAGUAAUAGUCCUUAAACUCUAGAACUACGUAGGCAGCGUAGGAUAUAAGAAGUCACCCAUCAGUAUAGGCUUGACUAUCUUGCAGGGGUAACCUGUCAGUAUUAAUACCUGGUAUGGUACUAAUACUCUUCCAGCUGGGGUUACAAGUUGAAACCCAAUUAACGUAGAUUGGGGCAUGUCGGUUAGAUGAUACCUCCCAUAGUCUCAGUUCAGUUAUUCAGUUUUAGUUGUUUGACCAUGGCAUUUAGAUAUCAGUGAUUCAGUAUUAGAUUUUAGUAUCUACAGACUAUAUUAAGAACAUGUUGUAUGUUUGGCCAUGCAUUUUCAGUAUUUAUAGCCUUUCAUACAUACUCAAUAUUUAUAGAUUUCACUUAUUCCUAUGUAUCUACAGAUUUCAUGCGCUUUAGUUAGUACUUCAUGUCUUAUAUGUAUAUUUAGAUGGUUAUUCUUCCUGUUCAUGAAACCAUGCAUUUUAUCCUACCUCAUUUAGCAUACCAGUACAUUUAAAGUACUGAUCACAUACUCUUUCUUUUGUGCUAUGAUGUAUUAUAUCAUAGGUUCCGACGUCCAGUUCCCAGAUCGCUCAUAGAUUUUACAGGCCCUCAGUAGUAGCAGUGGUGAGUCCUUAUAUUUUGAGGACAAAUUAUUUUACUUCAUGUCUCUAUUUCUGUAGUUAGUUGAGUUAUUUGAGGCCUGUCCCAUCAACUCUCAGUUAGUCAGUUUAGAGAUUUUUCAGACACUAUAGUCAUUUAUUCAGUAGUUACACUUCAGUUGACAUGUCAGUUAGUUAUUCAGCUUAUCUCAAAUUUUAGUAUUUAUUCAAACUUAGAUAGUUAUUUCUUCAGAUUUAUAGUUCAGUACUUGUUUCAGUUAUUAAAACUUUAUGGCAUAACAGUUAUUCUUAUGCAUUUAUGGUUAUAUUAUUCAAUUCUCAAAGAAAUUACUAGCUCAUGGGUUAGCUUAUGGUCCCUUGGGAUUGUAAGCUAAGUGUGACGCCCAGGGUGUACUCUCGGGGUAUUACAACUUGAUGGUGCACAAUUUGCAGAUUAAAGUGGUACUGAGGUAGGGGCGUAGCCUAUAACUGCGACUUCCAGAGUUGAAGUCCCUUUCAUGAUGAUAGUUAUUCAGUCGGUGCUUGCCCAACUUGCUAUGUCUGUUGAAGAGCAGAAGAUGUUGGGUAGGUUUUUGAGAUUGGCUCCGCCUAGGUUUUUUGGUGCACCGGAUGAGGAUGCUAAUGAGUUUUUGAUUGCUUGGGAGGAUAAACUCUAUUAUUUAGGAAUUAUUGAGACUCGUGGUGUGGAUUACACUAAUUUUUAGUUAGAUUUGGCGGCUCAACAUUUUUGGACAAGUCAUCUUGAUUCUAGGCCAGCUGGAUCUCCCCCUUGACAUGGACUAAGUUCUUUGAGGUCUUCUUGGAGAAAUAUAUGCCUCACAGUCUUAAGGAUUAUUUGAGGGAUCAGAUCUUGAGGUUGGAGUAGGGAUCUAUGCCUGUUGUGGAGUAUGAGACUCAAUUUUACGAUUUGAGUAGACAUUCUAUAUCUAUUCUACCUAUCGAGUAUGAGAGGGUUCGAUGCUUUGUUUUAAGAUUGAGACUUUUUUUCUGCAUGUCUACAUAGAGUUUGGUUAUUGUGGGUAGAUAUUUUGCUGAGGUUUUUAAUCAUUUGCAGGUUAUAGAGGAGAUGCAUCACGAGGCCCAAGGGGUAGCAAUAAGAGACCAAAAUAUCAAGGUAGUUUUAAUGGGAGCCAUAGUGGCUCAUAGUUCAGAAGCAGUGGUUCUCAGAGUAGGUACCCUCCGUGUCAGUCAUAUCAGCAUUAAGUUCAGUCUAGUAGGCUCAUUUAGGCCAAACUUUAGAUUAUUGAUGGAGUCUAUUCUAGUUACUAUAAUUAUACUAUCCAAGGUAGUGGUCUUUCUUCAAGGGGUUCGUCUUCUAGGUAUUUUAGUCAUGGUGGUUAUUUCGAGCCAGUCGGAUCUUUUAGUUUUAGUGUAGCGCCUUGGGCAUGUUAUGGUUUUGGGCCUUUGUCUAUUCUUGUAAGAGUUCCCCAAUCAUAAAGCAAUGGUUCCUUCGGUUCAAAGUGCUUCACCAAUUAGGGUAGCUUUGUCUCCAGUUAAAGGUGGUAUGCAUGGUUGUUGGGGUGGUCCUUAGGGUGUUCGUGUAGGUCCUCAGGCAGGUAGGAUAAGAAAUCUGUUAGUAGCCUAGUUGGGUGGUGAGAGUAGACAGUUGUAUGCCAUACCUGCUAGACUUGAGACUGAGUCUUUGGAUGAUGUCAUUAUAAGCACGAUUUCAGUGUGCCAUAACCCGACUUUUACUUUAUUUAAUUUAUGAUCCACUUAAUCUUAUAUGUCUUCUUUUUAUGCCUUGUGGUUAGAGUUAUCUUGGGAUUCUUUAUUUGUGUCAUUAUAUGUGUCUCUCUCUUGGGUGAUUCUUUAGUAGUGGAUCGAGUGUAUAGAUCAUGUGUUGUGAUUGUUCAAGAGUUUGAUACUCAAGAUGAUCUUCUUGUAUUAGAUAUGGUGGACUUUGAUGUAAUUCUAGGCAUGGACUAGCUAUCCCACUAUUAUGCAGUCUUGGAUUGUUUUUCUAAAACCAUUAUCUUAGCCAUGCUAUGUAUAUUUGCGGAUGUAUGGCAGGGAUCUAUUAGCCACGAGCCGACAAGGAUUAUUUCUUAUAUUUGGGAUAGGAGACUUAUUUUGAGAGGUUAAGAGUAUUAGCUCGCUUAUAUUCGCGAUGUUAGUGUGGGCAGUCUGUCACUUUACUCUAUUCGUAUAGUUCGUGAGUUUCCUGAUGUUUUUCCUACUUAUCUACCUGGUCUUUCUCCUGGGUAUGAUAUUGAGUUUGUUAUUGAUCUUGAGUCGGGCACCCGACCUAUUUCUAUGGAACCUUACCAUAUGGCUCCUACCAAGAUUAAGGAGAUAAUUCUCAAGUUUAGGAUUUUUUUGGUAAGGGUUGAGGUAGACGAGUGUGUUGCCUUAGGGAUCUCCUGUCUUGUUUGUAAAGAAGGAGGACAGUUCCUUGUGUAUAUAUGUAUUGAUUAUAGGUAGUUUAAUAAGGUGACAGUGAAGAACCGAUAUACUAUGCCUUGCAUUGAUGAUUUGUUUGACCAGCUUUAGGGAGUAGCUGUGUUCUCUAAGAUUGAUUUGAGGUCCGGUUACUAUCAAUUGAGGAUUAAGGUUUAAGAUAUCUCAAAGACAACCUUUAGGACCCGUUAUGGCCAUUAUGAGUUCCUAGCGAUGUCUUUUGGGUUGACCAAUGCCCCAACCACAUUUAUGGAUUUGAUGAGUCACGUGUUCAGGACUUAUCUAGAUUUUUUAUAAUUGUGUUCAUCGAUGACAUUAUUGUGUAUUAAAGGAGUAGAGAGGAGUAUGUGUAACAUUUGAGGAUUAAGCUCCAAACUCUGAGAGAUCAUCAGCUGUUUGCCAAAUUCUCUAAGUAUGAGUUUUGGCUUGAGUUGGUGACAUUCCUUGGGCAUGUGGCGUCCAAGGAUGCGAUUAUGGUGGAUCCAACAAAGAUUGAGGCAAUUCGUGAUUAGGACAGGUCUGCAUCUCCAUCUGAGGUUUAUAGCUUCAUUAAUUUGGUCGAUUACUAUCGAUGGUUUGCUGAGAGUUUUGCUACUAUUGUUAUACUGAUGACCAAAUUGACUUGAAAGGAGGUUCCUUUCUAGUGGUCCGAUGAGUGUGAGUCAAGCUUCGGGAAGCUCAAGGGAUUUCUCACUUUAGCUCCUAUUUUGUCUCUCCCUAUUGAGCAUAACGGAUUCACGUAUAUUGUGAUACUUUAGGUUUUGGUUUAGGUUGUGUGUUGAUGCAACAACAUAGUAGAGUUAUUGCUUAUGCAACGAGGCAGCUGAAGGUGCAUGAGCGCAACCACCCACUCAUGAUUUAGAGUUAGCGGCGGUAGUUUUUGAACAUAAGAUUUUGGAGACGUUAUCUUUAUGGCGUUGUCACGACCCAAUUUCUUAAGUUAUGAUGGCACCUACCUUACCCCACUUGUAGGAAAGCCAAUCCAUAGCUCAAAACAGUAGGUAACGGGCUAAUGAAAAGAAAUCAUGAUAAGACCAUAUAUAAUGAAAAUAAUAGUAAUAAUAGGCAAAAAACAGAAAAGAAUCAUAUAAAGUAUAUCAAAUGAGAGAAGAAAAAAGACCGAAAUAUAUAAACGAACCCCUCCCAAGACCUGGUAAGGUCGGUACUAGAGAUACUACUAAAAGAUACUAGAGUACUAGACAGAAUUAAAAAUAUACACAAUAUAUACAAGUAGUCUCGAGUACAAAAGACUAAACUGGAAUAGAUAGAGGAGGAUCAGCCUUGGAUGACAACAAGCUCACCCUGCUCUAGAUUAAUAUUGGAAAAUAGGAAUCAACUCAACGCCGACUGCUAGUACCCGAAUCUACAUCAGGGUAAAGAUGUAGAAGUAUAGUAUGAGUACCAAAGAAAUGGGUACUCAGUAAGCAUCAUCAGCUGACUGAGUUCAAUACAGGAAAAACAUAACUAAAAUGCAAGGAUGUAGUCUAAGUCAAUGGUAAAUAGAGAUAAAAAGGUAAAAAACUAUCGAGAUACGUAAAUGGGAUAAAGGAAUAAGUAAAAGCGAUAUAAGAAUAUAAAUAAUGCAGUAAUAAAAGACAAACCAAACAUGACCUAAAUGGCCCCGCAUAAGCCCGACAUUCACACUGAAGAAGACAAUUAACCCAACCGUGCCUCCAUAAGCUGGUGGGACACACAAGAAGUAUUUAUAGAAAAUAAACAUUAGUAAUACAUAAUUGAAACAAUCCAAAAAUAUCAUAGUAUUUGUCCAAAUGUGCACUAGGCUUGAAUCGACACCAAUGGAUAGUAUUGAGAGGCCAGACACCAGGUUCGAACCGGUAGUGAUGGAUAAUAACAAAAUGCCAUACGCCCGGUUUGAGCUAAAAAUUAUAUGUAACAAUGAGCAGCCACAUAUAUGAUAUACAACAUAACUCAUAAUCAGAUGUCGUACUCAAAUAAGAAUUCAGAUAAACCACAACUCCUAGAAUAACAAUAAUCAAUACCAGAACUCCCAACUCAUCAUAACCACAUACCGAACUCGAUCCUGAACUUAUAGUAAUCAUACUCAACAAUAAAAUUAAAACCCCAACCAUACUAGAACCAAUGACACAAUGUGCAAAAUUUCACUGUAAAUGAUAGAAAUAAAGUAUAUGCUGACCCUAAACCGUAGUGAAAAUACAUUUAAAUAACCAUUCAUGUUAAUUAAUAAAAAGGAGAUGAAUCAAAUGUUAUACAACUUAAAUACCUCAUCUUAAGCUCAUAAAUACUACAUUAUACUAAAAGAUAAUGAAACAAAAAUUUACUAGAACAGAUCCUAACCGGAUAAAUAAGGCAUGAUAUCUAUAUCAAAUACUAUGCAAACUAUAAUUGCCUGUCUAAAACUAGCAUAAUAGCACACAAUUACCACAAAUAAGAUCAAUCUGAAGAUAGAGUAAGUCUAACCUACCCUGAAGCCAAAGCUAAAAUAUCUCCCCAAGAAGCCUCCAAAUAGUGCCACUAGAACCCAAGCUUGAAUAACUUGAUUUAUUUUUAGAAAUUAAAUACAAGAAGUAAACUUUUUCUCACAACACUUAUGUUGAUAUGCGUAAGUGUAUAUGAAGUAACAAAGCAAGUAUAUUGCAUUUGAUAAUAGUGUAAACAUUCUAAUAUUAAAGAUCCUAUAUUAAUUUACUAAAGAAACUCUUAAAUACUCCACCACUUCCAGUAAUUCUUAAGUGGCUACUAAUUAGUCAAGGUAGGUAUUAAAUUCCAUUUAAGCUAAUUUCUGUAACCUCCCUUUUCUUCUAUGUGAAAAUGGAGUUGCAAUAAUCACUUUUGAAAUUGUACUAUUAUGUAUAUAUUCGGGUAUUGCAUAGGUUUGUUGUAAAAUAGAUAAUAUAUUUUGAAUAUGUGUUAGUUAAUUAAAAAUUAUUUUUAAUAAAACCUCUAUUAUGUAAUAAUAAUAAUAAUAAUAAUAGUAUUUUAACAUAUCUAGAUUUACUCUCUCCGCUUAAAAUAUUAAUAGACUAUAAAAGCUAUUAUAAAGUAACAUAAAUAUAUCAUUAUUAAAAAAAUUCAUCAAUAUCAAAAAUAUUUUAGAAGGAUGAUAAAUUAUAUUUCUACCAAAUGCCAAUUUUGAUUAAUAUUUCACAAUAUAUUUCAUAUCACUAAAAUUCUCAAACGAACCAUCCUAAAAACUGAACAAUUAGUCCCAAGAAGUCAUAAAUAACUUGGGGAAGUUAUAGAAAAGCUUUAGAUACCAAAAAUAUAUGAAAAUAAGGAAAAUGAUUGUUAGUGUCAUUACAGGCGUGCAUUGUGAGAUCUUCAUGGAUCAUCAUAGUCUUCAUCAUCUUAUGACCUAGAGAGAGAUUAAUUCUAGGAAACGUAGAUGGAUUUAGUCGCUUAAGGAUUAUGACAUCUCUAUUUUGUAUUUUCUGAGAAAGCAAACACGGUAGCGUAUGUCUUGAGCCAAAAGGCGGUGAGUAUGGGUAGUUUGGCUUCUAUUUAGUUUCUCAGAGGUCAUUGGCAUGGGACAUUCGAUCCUUAGCAAACUUGAUGGUGUGAAUUGGUAUUUUAGACCCCAUGUGAAUUAUUGCUAGUGUUGAGGUGAGGUCUACUCUAUUUGACUAGAUUCACAGUCGUUAGUUUGAGGAUAUGAAACUUUGCAUCAUCCAUGAUCAGGUGAUGAGUAGUGAGUCCAAGAGGGUUAUCAUAGAUUCUAAGGGUGUUCUGAGAUUUGAUGGCCAUAUUUGUGCUCUGAGGGUUGGUAAAUUGAUGUAGUUGAUUUUGGGUGAGGCUCACAACUCUAGAUGUUCUAUUCACCCAGAUAGUUCUAAGAUGUAUAAAUAUUUUAAGUAGCAUUAUUAGUGGAGUGGUAUGAAGAGAGAUAUAGAAGAAUUAGUAGUCCCAAGAAGUCAUAAAUAACUUGGGGAAGUCAUAGAAAAGCUUUAGACACUAAAAAUAUAUGAAAACAAGGAAAAUAAUUAUUAGUAUUAUUACAGGCGUGCAUUGUGAGAUCUUCACGGAUCAUCAUAGUCUUCAGUAUCUUAUUACCUAGAGAGAGCUUAAUUCUAGGCAACGUAGAUGGAUGUAGUUGCUUAAGGAUUAUGACAUCUCUAUUUUGUACUUUCUGAGAAAACGAACACGCUAGCGUAUAUCUUGAGCCAAAGGCGGUGAGUAUGGGUAGUUUGGGUUCUAUUUAGUUUCUCAGAGAUUGUUGGCAUAGGACAUUCGAUCCUUAGCUAACUUGAUGGUGUGAAUUGGUAUUUUAGACCCCAGGAGGAUUUUUGCUAGUGUUGAGGUGAGGUCUACUCCAUUUGAGCAGAUUCAAAGUCGUUAUUUUAAGGAUAUGAAACUUUGCAUCAUCCAUGAUUAGGUGGUGAGUAGUGAGUCUAAGAGGGCUAUUAUAGAUUUUAAGGGUGUUUUAAAAUUUGAUGGUCAUAUUUGUGCUCUGAGGGUUGGCAAAUUGAUUUAGUUGAUUUUGGGUGAGGCUCACAACUCUAGAUGUUCUAUUUAUCUAGAUAGUACUAAGAUGUAUAAAGAUUUUAAGUAGCAUUAUUAGUGGAGUGGUAUGAAGAGAGAUAUGGUAGAAUUUGUAGUUCAUUGCCUAUAUUAUCAGUUAGUGAAGGCCGAGCAUCAGAGACUUGGUGGCUUGAUUCAUAUAUUUCCCAUUCUAGAGUAGAAGUAGGAGUGUAUUACUGUGGAUCUUGUUAGUGGUUUUCCUCACACUUCUCAUAGUUUUGAUAGUAUUUGGGUCAUUGUGGAUUGAUUUACCAAGUUGGUAUAUUUUAUUCCUAUCUUUCAAUGCCGAGAGGUUAAGUCGUGUCUAUAUUCAUGAGAUAGUUUAUUUUAGUGAUGUGUCUUUCAGACAAGGGUUUGGUGUUUACUUCUAUCUUUUAAAGAGAUUUUUAGGAGGAGUUAGGUGCUCAGGUGGAUCUUAGUAUAACUUUCCAUCUUCAGACUAAUGGUCAGCCAGAGUUGGCUAUUAAGGCUAUCGAGGAUAUACUUCGAGCUUGUGUUAUAGAUUUCAUAGGUUAUGGGAGCAACACCUAGCUUUGGCAAUUCACAUAUAAUAAUAGCUAUCAUUCGAGUAUUGAUUGCUGUUUUUUGAGACUUUGUAUAGUAGGUGAUGUCAUUCUUUGAUUCGGUGAUUUGGGACCUCCAAGAUUAGACCCCGUAGUAAUGACUUGCUUUAGGAGUCGUUGGAUAGAGUCAGAGUGAUUCAAGAUAGGUUGAGGGUAUCUUAGAGUAGGCAAAAAGAGCAUGCAGAUUGUAGACUUCGUGCCUAGAGAUUUGGAGUUGGAGAUCAAGUAUUCCUCUGAGUAUCGCCAAUGAAGGGUCUGAAGAGGAUUGGGAGGAAGGGAAAGCUUAGUCCUAGGUAUAUUGAACCCUUUGAGAUCCUUCGUAUAGUUGGUGAGAUGUCUUAUGAGUUAGACUUACCCCCUGAUUUAGCUAUUGUCAAAUCAGUUUUUCAUGUUUUUAUGUUGCGAUGGUACAUUCUAUACUCAUCUCAUGUGCUCAUUUUCUAUGUUUUUGCUCAUUUUGAUUGAUUAAAGUUUUCAUAGUUUCCCAACUCAUUUUUGACUUGCUGUAGCUGAAAGUUUUAUUACCCUUCUGUUUGUUUGGUUUUUAGAGCCAAUUCCAUAUUUUAAAGUCUACGUGGUUAGAAUUGACUACCGCACAAAAAAUUUAGUCAAAUGACUUCGUAUGCCAAUUUUGAUACUUUUAAUAGCUCCAGAAUAUCAAUUUUAUUCUAAGUGGACCUUUGGUUUGGGUCCCAAGGCUUCCAAACUCAUUUUGGGUUAUUGGCUAAAAUUGAAAAAAAAUAACACUUGGGUGUGGGACCUACUUUUUUACCGACCGACCUUAGAUGGAAAUUCCUAAUCCUCUAUUGAGUCUAUAAUGUUGAAUUUGAUAGGAUAUCAUAGUUCAUUUACGUAUAUGAGAUUUUGGAUGAAUCCCGAGGGGUUGGUGAAGACUUGGAAAAAUUUGCUUAAAUGGUGCUGCUGUAUUUGCUUAAGCGCCCAUAAGGUCUCCUAAGAUAAGGCCGCUUAAGCGACCAUCCGGUCGGUUAAGCCACCUAGCUUGCAUAGCUGGUUUCGCUUAAGCAAUGCCCUUGUCUCUUAAAGAUGGAUGCUUAAGUGUCCAAAGGUCGCUUAAAUGACAUGUGCAGAAGUCGCUAAUGACGCGAAAGAGGCAUUUAGCCUCUUAAGCGGCACCUGGUAGUAUUAAACACCCCAAGUAGCCUGUUUUCUCUCAUUUUCACACAUUUUCAUGAGUGCAAAACCCUAAAAUGUAUGGAAACUUGGGAAAGACAUUAGUAGGUUAUUUUGGGGAGUUUAUAAGCUUAGAUUACUCAUUUCUUCUCCGAAUUCUUGGUAUGGUUUCAUUAAUUCCAUAAUUAAUUUCUUAUAAUUUCCCCAAAAUUUCUAGAAUAUUAGAGGGUUGAUUGUAGCGCCUUUGACCUUGGAAUUUACCUAUUCUUGAGUAAAUGGUCCUUGAGCAUAGACAAACGUAUUGUCGGUCUCGAAAUUGCUAUUCCACAAACAGACCCCACAUGGUAUUUUUACGUAAUUUUUGACCGAAGCAUAAAAUUAUAAUAUGGGUAUCAUUGUUCUCGUUUGAUGAGUAGAUUAUGAUUUUGAUAGCUUCUCGGAAGGGGGAUCAAUGAUUUAGCGAAUUUCUUCGGGUUUUUCUUUGGUAUCCAGAUAGGCUAGAUUUAUUUUCCUAAUAGAUUGAGAUAAUUUGUAGUAUAUUUAUGAUAUUAUGCUAGACAUGGGGUGUGAAUUAGGUCUUGGGGGGGAUAUAAUUGGUAUAAUUAGCAUUAUUUUGACUGUUUAGGCUAUUUUGGAAUCGUAAAUUAGGCGCCUUGACUUGAUUAUUCAUGUUUAGAUAGAAUUUCUAUCUUAGGGCUAAUUGCGGCUUAUUUGGAUACCUUAGCCUAGUUUGGAGUAGAUUUUAUCUUAGAAUGGAUUUCAAGGAUUAGAAGUGGGCUCGUUCAGCUAACCUUAGGCCAAUACUCUUGUUAGCUCCUUGUACACCUAAUGGGCGUAUUGCAUCCUUAAAGUGGCAUAUCUUAGAGUUAAAAAGACUAGAUUCUUGAUGUUUAUGCUAGUUUGGUAUUUGUGAGUUGAUAUGAGUUUCGGUUCAAGUCCGAUGAUUUAUUGAUAUUAAGUUCCAGUUCAAGUCCAGCAAUUGAUGACAUGAGUUCCGUUCAGGUCCAGCAAAUGAUAAUGAUGAUAUUGAUAUGAGUUUCGAUUUAAAUCAGACAUUAAGAGGUUAUUUAUGGCAUGUUAUGGCGCAAAUGGAUUCAUGGUUAUGGCUUGAUAUUUUUUAAAUUUAUAAAAUUUUGGUCAUUUACUCUCUUGAUUUCACCCUCGGGCUUAUGGGGGCUCGCGUUGGGUUAUUUAUUUUUUGGCACUUACUCGCUUAUUGGGGCCAGUCUUGUAGUAUUAUUUACACUUCCUUUUAUAUUGUAUCCAUUUCAGUUAUUUAUUUACAGUGUUGGAGCAUUAUACCAGGUUUGCCAUUUUAUCUUGACUUAGCUUGUUUAUCUUAUAUCUUUAUUUUACUUAUGUUAUGAUUUAGCUCAGUCGACCGAUGAUGCCUACUUAGAAAUUAUGGCUUUGAUACUCAUACUAUACUUCUGUACCUUUUUUGUAUAGAUUUGAGUACUAGUGGCCGUCGCUGAUACCUAGAUUGUGCUGAGUUGAGUUCGAAGAUAGGAUGUGAGCUCCCAGAGUCAAAGUGGCCCUUUUUUCUUCGACUAUUUAUAUCUAAUCUUUCACUAUUCGAUACUGAUGUAUAUUGACUAUUACAGUAUUUAUGUUCCUUUUUACUAGUGGCUCUUGUACCAACACUACUAGUUCAUGGGAUGUUACUUCUAUUUUAUCUAUCUUUCAGACUAUCAUUACUAUUUAAAUUAUUGUUGUAAGUCUAUACGUGCAAAUUUAUAGCUUUUAUGCCUUUUUCCACCAAAUUUGUCCAUUGCUUCUAGCUUUGAGCUAGGAUUUGGCUUACCAAUUGGCGAAAUAAAGUAGGUCAUGACUCGUAAAUCGGGUCAUGACAAUUUAAAGCUUAACAAAAUCUAAUCUAAUCAAAUAUGCUUUAGUAUCUUUUCUGUAAUGAACAAAAGAAUGAAAUUAUACUAUGUUCUAUCUAAUUAACUUGAGAAUCUAAAAAACUGUAAUCCAAAAAUGUAUACACAAUUUUAAUCUAGUCCUCAUUCCUAAAAUGAUAUGGUUCAUUAUUUUUCUACUUUACUUAAAUCUUUUUCCACAAAUCAAGCAAGUGUAUCUCUAUAUCGGUAAGGACCUUUCUAAUAUGGAAUAAAAACACCAUUGCAUACACCUACAAAUGCAAUAGUUUGAUUGCCCAGUCAAAUGAGCAUAUCACCCACUUAAAUAAAAUGUAAAAGGAAUAUUAUCAUCAAGCAAAAUGUAAUACAUAUAGUAAUACAUUUCAAAUAGAGAUGACUCACUAGGCUGAGCUUAAACAGAAUACAAGAAAGAUUCUAUACAUAAAAAGAUACAUCACAUAGACUUCUUUCACACCCAAUGUAUAAUCUGCAUAGACAAAUCAAAUUGGAGCUGCACAUGUAGCCAUAAAGUGGCCAAUCUGAUUGCACUGGUGUAAGACCUGCAAAAUCCUUGCUUAACUCAGUCCCUUAGAGCAUGAAAAGAGGUCAUAGACUUAGAAAUUUCAGCUAAGUUUUUAUACUUAGAAUUAUUUUAGCCUUCAUAUCUUGGCGAUCUUAUUUUACGACCCUUACGACUUUAAAAUGUCUAUUUUUUGGUUGAUUCAUGAUUAGGAAUGUCAGUAGUUGUUCUCAGGAAAGUUUCAAAUUUUUCGAACAUCGUUUGAGACAUGUUUGGGAGUCCAAAAUAGUGGAUCGACACGAUCUCGACGCGUCGCGUCGCCUAUCGCGUUGAUAGAUAUUUUUCCUAGCUCCCAGUGCAAAUUCUAGUGAGCUGAUGUAUCUAAUAGUAUUGUCAAGGAGCGUAGGACCAAAAUGAUGGUCAAGGAGAUAUACAUAUCGAGGCUCAUGGCCAAUGCUCAGCAGAUAGAAGAGGCUAAGAAUAAGGAAAGGAGAAGGAAAAUAAGAGAGCUACAAUAGGUAGCUUCAACUUCACUCAGCCCAAGUCUGAGGGUGGUAAUCGUUCUCAGUUCCGCGUGAAAUAUUCCAUUCCAGAUCCGUCCUCAGCCAGUGCCCCAGUGACCAAAUUCAAAUAUAGCAAUAAAUAUAGUGCGCCAGGCCCUAAACCCCCAGGGUAGUGUUAACAAUGCUCGAACAAACCCUCUUUUCCAGAAGUGUGGCAGGAACCAUCAGGGUGUCUGCAGAGCUAACAGCGAUGUAUAUUUUGAAUGUGGAAAGCUAGUACAUAGGGUUAGAGAGUGUCCUCAGGUGGGUUCGCAGAGUCAGCAUAGUCAUCCCCCAGCUCAGUCCGAUCGCCUGAAUCAAUAGAGUGCUGUUUCCAGUGCCACCAGUGGGCAAAGCCCAAACAGGCUUUAUGCACUUCAGUCCUGACAGGAUCAAGAAAGUUCUCCUAAUGUGGUGACUGGUAUGUUACAAGUUUAUCAUUUAUAUAUUUAUGCUUUGCUAGAUCUAAGAGAUUUUUUAUCCUUUGUAACUCCUUAUAUAGCUGUUGACUUUGGAGUUAGUCCCGAAAUCCUUGCAGAUCCUUUCUCAGUCUCUACCAUAGUGGGUAAAUCUAUCAUAGCCUGAUGCAUAUACAGGAACUAGCCGAUUAUGGUAUCUCAGAAAGUCACUUCAGCAGACUUAGUAGAAUUAGAGAUGAAAGAUUUUGAUGUCAUUCUCGGCAUGGAUUGUCUUCAUUCAUGCUAUGCCUCAGUUAACGUUAGAAACAGAGUUGUCCAUUUUCAGUUUUCAAAUGAACUUGUCCUUGAGUGGAGGGGUAGUACUUCAGCACUUAGGUGUCAGAUUAUUUCCUACCUUAGGGUGAGGAAAAUGAUAUCUAAGGGGUGUGUUUAUCAUCUCGUUCUAGUUAAAACUCUAUUUCUUAGACUCCUAAUCUUGAGUAAGUUCUAGUAGCAUGCAAAUUUCCAGAUGUAUUUCUCGAAGAUCUUCCUGGAGUCCCUUUCGAGCAGGAAAUUGACUUCAAAAUAGACCUUUUUCCCGAUACUCAGCCUAUCUCUAUCCCACCANNNNNNNNNNNNNNNNNNNNNNNNNNNNNNNNNNNNNNNNNNNNNNNNNNNNNNNNNNNNNNNNNNNNNNNNNNNNNNNNNNNNNNNNNNNNNNNNNNNNNNNNNNNNNNNNNNNNNNNNNNNNNNNNNNNNNNNNNNNNNNNNNNNNNNNNNNNNNNNNNNNNNNNNNNNNNNNNNNNNNNNNNNNNNNNNNNNNNNNNNNNNNNNNNNNNNNNNNNNNNNNNNNNNNNNNNNNNNNNNNNNNNNNNNNNNNNNNNNNNNNNNNNNNNNNNNNNNNNNNNNNNNNNNNNNNNNNNNNNNNNNNNNNNNNNNNNNNNNNNNNNNNNNNNNNNNNNNNNNNNNNNNNNNNNNNNNNNNNNNNNNNNNNNNNNNNNNNNNNNNNNNNNNNNNNNNNNNNNNNNNNNNNNNNNNNNNNNNNNNNNNNNNNNNNNNNNNNNNNNNNNNNNNNNNNNNNNNNNNNNNNNNNNNNNNNNNNNNNNNNNNNNNNNNNNNNNNNNNNNNNNNNNNNNNNNNNNNNNNNNNNNNNNNNNNNNNNNNNNNNNNNNNNNNNNNNNNNNNNNNNNNNNNNNNNNNNNNNNNNNNNNNNNNNNNNNNNNNNNNNNNNNNNNNNNNNNNNNNNNNNNNNNNNNNNNNNNNNNNNNNNNNNNNNNNNNNNNNNNNNNNNNNNNNNNNNNNNNNNNNNNNNNNNNNNNNNNNNNNNNNNNNNNNNNNNNNNNNNNNNNNNNNNNNNNNNNNNNNNNNNNNNNNNNNNNNNNNNNNNNNNNNNNNNNNNNNNNNNNNNNNNNNNNNNNNNNNNNNNNNNNNNNNNNNNNNNNNNNNNNNNNNNNNNNNNNNNNNNNNNNNNNNNNNNNNNNNNNNNNNNNNNNNNNNNNNNNNNNNNNNNNNNNNNNNNNNNNNNNNNNNNNNNNNNNNNNNNNNNNNNNNNNNNNNNNNNNNNNNNNNNNNNNNNNNNNNNNNNNNNNNNNNNNNNNNNNNNNNNNNNNNNNNNNNNNNNNNNNNNAAUGCAUACAAAAAGUCUGGCUACUCUUAAACACCAGGUAAAUUCCAGCUUAGCCAAACCACUUCACAUUUGUUCUUUAAAUUGUCGCAAAAACUAAGAUAUCCUUGUUAUACAGCUGCUUCGUAACAAACUAGUCACAACAGCACGCAAAAGUAUGCAGAAAAAUUCAAGCUUAGGACAACUAUACGGGAAUAUGCAGGAAGCGUAUCAACAGAUGCAAACUCCUCUGAUCUACCAGGAACCAUCAGCUAGAGUAUGUGACAUGCGUCUUCACCGUUUAUGGAGCUUAAAGUUCUCAAACUAUGCCAAUGACCAUUACUAUCUACAUUUUACCCAAAAAAAAAAAAAAAAACUUUAGCUCAUUAACAACUUGAUUUCCUUAAUUUAGCAGGGCCUGAAGGAGUUAAAAGAAUCUACAAUUCAGUUAGCAUCAAGCAUGGGACACAUUGAUGCUCCAAUAGACGAAACAGUUUUUGACGUUGAGAAAGAAAUUGAUGAUUUGUUGCCUGUUGAAGUGAAAGAACAGCGUGUCAGCAACUUGCUUCAAGCCACCAUGGUUGGUGGAUGUGUUGCUGCCAUGCCAGUGCUCAGAAUGAUUCCAACCUCCGUGCUAUGGGGCUAUUUCGCAUACAUGGCCAUUGAAAGUCUGCCAGGCAAUCAAUUUUGGGAGAGAAUAUUACUGCUAUUCACUGCACCAAGCAGAAGAUACAAGUAACUACCUUUUCAAAAUUGCCUUUAAAUUUGGCUUUUCAAAGGAAUUUUCCUUACCAAAAUGAUGAAUCUUGCUUGCAGAGUUCUAGAGGACUAUCAUGCCACAUUUGUAGAGACUGUUCCUUUCAAGAGCAUAGUGGCAUUCACAACAUUCCAAACACUCUACUUGCUUGCUUGCUUUGGCAUUACAUGGGUUCCAAUCGCGGGACUCCUUUUCCCUCUCUUGAUCAUGCUUUUGGUUCCUGUUAGACAAUACAUAUUGUCAAAGUUUUUCAAAGGGGUACAUCUUCAAGAUUUGGAUGCAGCAGAUUAUGAGGAGUCACCCGCCGUUCCAUUCCAUCUUCCUAUGGUAAAUCCCUCUUUCAGUAAUCUGAUAUUUGAUUGUAAUUAGAUUAAUUUGAAGACUUAAAGACUAAUAUUAGAGCAUGCAGGAGGGUGAAUUUGGCUCAAGACCUUCCCAUGCAGAAAGCGGGGAGAUUUUAGAUGAGAUGAUCACUAGAAGCAGGGGUGAGGUCAAGCGCAUUAACAGUCCUAAGAUCACAAGUUCAACAGCAACUCCAAUAAGAGAUACCAAGCUCCUUCAGAGCCCGCGCAUAUCAGAAAAAGCAUACAGUCCACAGAUUGGCAAACUGAGAGGCCAACAAAGUCCCCUCUCUGGCGGAAGAGGGCCGUUCAGUCCAAGGACCGGAGAACCAAAGCCAUCCAAUUUGGGUACAAGUCCUCGGAUAUCAACUCCUAACGACUAAGAAACGAUUGACAUCUUAAGACUAAGCUAGUUUAAUAUGCCUUAAGUUUGGUAUUUUCAUUUGAUUGUCUCCUUUUUACUGCAUUUUAAGUGAUGCAUUAAUUGGGACUGUGCUUGAACAUUAGCCGUGUAUUCUUGUCUUAUAGUGAUAAUAGUUUAUAAGUGUUUUGUUCAUAUUUUCUUGUACUGCGGAGUUAUGAUUAAUAAUAGCAGUGACAUGUAUUUAUCCAAAUUUUCUUGUACAUCAUUGCACAAACUUCUUUUUAACAUAUCUUUGGAGAACUUAUCUUAAAGUAAAUAUAACAUUACAUCCUUCUUGGUAAAAUUUUUUGUAAAAAUAACAACAUUUAAAACUGGGAUUAACUGCAUAUAACUUAUCGAUCAACUAAAUUUACAUCCAGAUUAAUCGGGAUAAAAAGAGAAUUUAUUGAUGCAGGUGAAGCACUUCCACUGUUUUCUUAAAUGCAUAUCAUGAGCGGCCAUUGUUUGUGAAAAACGAGCUGCAUAAUUGUUCAGAGUUGCGGAGCCAUCUUUGUGCAAGAGAUAUCAAUUAUUUCUUCGCUGGAAAAUUACACUACAUAAAUAGGUAAAAAGAGAAAUUAUAUAUAUAUACUAUACGUUGAAUCCCUACUUCUCGUAUGUCUACUUCUUUGUAUUUUGACUUCCCUAACUGAAAAUCAUGAUUCCGCCAUUACGUGUCCUAAAUCCUCAAUAGGCUAAUUAGAAACCAGAUUUGAGCACAUGUGGAAUUAAUGACAAAUAUAAUCAAGGAUAUAGGACUGUAUUAAGGUGCUUGUAUCUAGAUUGAUCAUCAUGGUGUGCCCAAGACACUAUUUAAAUGGUUGAAUGCGUGAUUCAUGACAAGAGGGGUGAGUUGAAUGUAGCCCAAGCAUAUAGCUAAAGGAAAUAAAGAGUUGAUAUAAUGAGAUAAGUAUAAGUAGUCAUUAUGAAUGCAGGAAGAAAAGCAGAGGCCACAAUUGAAUAUGAGAAAGCACAUGAUAAGUGAAGGGACAAGCAAAGGGGAAGUUUGUGGUUUUAUGGCAUUUGACUUUAAAUAAGUGGGAAACUUUGCGUAUCACGGUCUAAUAAUUUCAGGAUCUGUGUUAUGUUUUUGGCCUAUCUGAGGGAACAAUAAUAUAGAAAACUGAAGAUUGAAUAAGACCAUUAAUCUGAUAAAGCACCAAAUUAAAGAGUAAACUCAGGUGACAAUUCAUGGCCUUGAUCAUAACCAUGAGAGUCCAUAUUGACAACGUGGUUUUGGGCCCCUACCUAGCUAGUUCUGUCCUGCAAAAUUUACUAUAGAAGGUAAUGACACCCAUUGAUUAUAUUAAUUAACUUAUGAAAGCACUCAAUAAGCACUACUGUCUACUCUACUACUAGUUGAUCAGCUAGUUAGUAGUAUUUGCAUGCAACUGAUCUAGUCGUAGCAUAUUAUAGAAAAGAAAAUUGAACUAAACACGUAUAAAAAUAAUGAUUUAGAGUUUGGAAUUUGUUUGGUUAGCUGAUUGAAAGUAUAUAGCAUUAUAUGCGGUGAGAUUCGAGCUUGGCAGGAGGUUUUGAUAUUUGACACGUGGAAGUAUUGACUUAAUCAGAAGCCUGGGAUCGUGUCUCUCUGGUCAUGGCACUAUAUGACAUCUUAGAACCAAUGCCACCAGCGUAUCUUAUUGAUUGGUGGCAUCGCUCUAUAAUAACAAGGACUAUUCUAUGAGCGGGUGACCAAUGACACCACUUUCGCAUGACCUCCUCCCCCGGUCUGUUCAUUGCUCAGCCAAAGCACGCUGGCAACUGUUUGAGUUAUGACACCAAUCAACCUCGAGCUCAGUUGUCAGAUUUUAAACAUGUGAUUAUAUUUUAAGCAUUUUGAGAGUAGUCUUUUUCAUAUAAUAGAGUAGCUUUUUCAUACUAGAAUUCUUAGUUAUUUUGGCCCUUAAGUAAACCCUUGCAUGGAACGGGAAUGGAGCUCAUCUUAAUUCACUUUGAUAAUAUACAGACGAUUCAUGUUCUUAUUCUAAUUUUUACUCAUAUUAACAGUCUUUUUCUUCGUUUAGUUUAUAUUUUGUCAUUUAUUCUUGCUUUGUAAAAACAAUAAUAGUUCUCUCUGUAUGAAGCAUGAAUCGUGAUAAUUCACAAAUAUUGCAAAUAGGGAAGUGUCAUUUCAACAAUAUAAUAUUAUUGGCCCUCCAAUGCAUGUUAUCUGGAAGUCGGGACCCAGAUAUAAAUUAUAAAUAGACCAUUUUCCUUCAAACAGAGAACCCUUUUUCUAGGUACUUCUUUUACGUAAUUAUUUUUAUUUGUUUUGAUUUGUGACCGCACCUUAAUUUCAACAUUGACUUUUUUUGGACCACUUUGUAAUAAUCAUGAUGUUUCUUUGAUUAUAAUUUAUUUGCUCUUGAGUACUCCUGAAGAAAUGGGCAAAAAAAGUAAUUAAAAACUUUCUUCAAGCGAUCAGAAGACAACAAAAUAAAAGAAAAGAAAAAAAUUAAAAUAAAAUCUCAAAAACGAUUUGAACAAGCUAGCAGCUUCUUUUUGGGGAAAGGUAUAUACUAUUGACACUCCUGAUUUUCUAGGUGCGUCUAUAUUUAUAAUAUUGAGACAUUCCUAUGUUGGUGAAGAUUCUAGAAAACUGCACGAGACUCUCAUAGAAGUGAUAGGACUAACAGUGAUGUAGAUAUAUUCACUAGGAUCUGGAAGUAACUCACUAUUCGUAAGAGAUAAAGAAAUACGAAAAGCAAUGGGAGUACGAACAGGUUUGCAGGUAUGCAUAUGAAAUUAAGAAGCAUAUCAGAAAUAUACCUUUGCUGAGACAAGUGAAGUACAUGAGGUGAGUGAACAACUUGAACACCAAGAAAAUAGUGAAGAUCAACUAAGUCCAUCAUAGCAAACUAAUUAGAAAGACGAGAAAUAAAGUGAUCAAAAAGAUGUGCAGAACUAUCAGUAAAAUUGAUAUCAUCAAUAUAAAGUAAUAAUAUGAGCAUACCAGAUGAUGACUUAUGGAUAAACAUGGACGUAUCUGAUUUACUGCAAACAAAAUCACGAGCAAGGAGAAAUGUAUUAAAGAGAUGAAACCAAGCACGUGAUGCUUGAUUCAAACCAUAAAGAGCUUUAGAUAGUUUACAGACAUGGUGAGGAUAGUCCAGAUGAGUUUCCCAAAGGUUGUUCCAUGAAAACUUCUAACACCAUGUAAAAAAACAUUUUUAACAUCAAGCUGUCGAAUAGGUCAAGAAAAUGAAAUUGCAUUAGAAAGAACAAUACGAACAGUAGUAGCACGAACUACAAGACUAAAUAUUUCGUGGUAAUUAAUAUCUGGUUGCUGAUGAAAACUUUAUGCUACGAGUCGUGCUUUGUAUCGCUCAUUUGAACCAUUUAAAUUAUAUUUAAUACAAUAACCCAUUUACAAUCAAUUAAGUUCAUGUUAGAUCGAAAAGGAACAAGAGUCCAAGUGUUAUUUUUCAAAAGUACAUUAAAUUCAUUAGCCAUGGCUUGUUUUCAUGUUGGACUUUUAACAGCUUGAGAAGAACAAGAAGGUUCAAUUUCCUGAAUUGUAGUAUCUAAAGAAAACAACUGCCUUGAUUUUGAGAUACCAGAUUUAGAUCGUGUUUGUAUUGGACGAGCGGGAAGAGUAGAAUCAAGUGAAGAUGAAGUAGGUAUAACGAAAGAGGGACCACUAAAGAGACACCCAGUAGAAGAACUAGAUAUAGACACAGGUUUAAUAGGGCUAGAGGUUGGGAAAUUCAGAAGGAAAAUCAGAAGAAAUAUUAAAGGAAAUACGGGACCUAGAAUGUUGUAAUGGAGAUGAUAAGGGUGAUGUGACUAUAAGGAUGUCAGGAGAAGAUGAGGAUGAAGUAACAUUGCUAGAGCAAGACAAUACAGGAUAAGGAAAGAUUAACUCCUAGAAAUAACAUGGCGACUAACAUAGAAACAAACUAUUUUAGGAUCAAAACAACGAUAACUCUUAUAGUUGGAAGCAUACCCUAGGAAAACACAUUGUACAAAAUGUGGUGUAAGCUUGUGGCAGUAAAAGAUGUUCAUUUACCUUACCACUUUAUGUCUGCAACGGUUCACUAGCAAAGACGCUCCUGAGGUGCCCGAGGGAACCUCGAACAAAGACCGCUUUGUUAUUGUAAAAGCUUGAAAACAUUCGAACUUCCUUUGCAGGAAUUAUAUUUUGAGUGGUCUCCAAGACGAAUUCUACAAUAUUUAUAGUGGAACAAAGAUAUCAAAAGAAAUGUGGGGGGAACUUGAACAAAAAUAUAAGACGAAGGAUGCAGGAAUUAAGAAAUUCCUUGUUGCACGGUUCCUGGACUUUAAAAUGAUAGAUAGUAAAUCUGUUGUCUCUCAAGUGCAGGAGUUGCAAGUCAUCAUACAUGAUCUCCUAGCAGAAGGUAUAUCUUUGAAAAAUACCUUAGUUAAACAAAUUAAAUAUGUUCUUAAUACUCAUAUAAAUUGUUUUGAAGGUUUAAUUGUGAAUGAUGCUUUCCAAGUAGCAGCGAUAGUGAGAAGCUACCACCUUUGUGGAAAGACUUCAAAAACUACUUAAAGUAUAAACGCAAGGAGAUAACUGUUGAAGAUCUUAUUGUCCGACUUCGUAUUAAAGAGGAUAAUAAAACUAUCGAAAGAAGUUCAAAGGGAAAUUCUGCAAUUAAUGGAGCACAUAUUGUAGAAGAUGGCCAAAACAAUUCUAAGAAAAUGAAAAAAACUGAACAAGGAAGCAAUCAACCCAAAAAAAAGUUCAAGGAAAAAUGCUUCAACUGUGGCAAGAUUGGCCACAAGUCCACAGAUUAUCAUGCCCCAAAGAAAGGAAAGAAGAAGGAUCAAGUAAAUAUGAUUGAAUCCAACAAAGAAUCUAAUGAUUUGUAUGCUAUUUUAUCAGAAUGCAACUUGACAGGAAAUCCUCGGGAAUGGUGGAUGGAUUUUGGUGCCACCCAUCAUGUUUGUGCCAACAGAUGGUUGUAUUCAUCAUUCGCUCCAGCUCAAGUAGAAGAAAGGAUCUACAUGGCUAACUAUGCUACUGCUAAGGUGGAAGGAACUGGGAAAAUAUACUUGAAAAUGACUUCGGGCAAAGUCUUGACACAUAACAAUGUCUUGUAUAUUCUCGAAUUACGUAGAAACUUAAUCUCUGUUUCACUUCUAGACAAGAACGGAUUCAAAUGUGCAAUCGUUUCUGUAAAUUGUAAUUAGCAAAGGAGAAAUAUAAGUAGGAAAAGGCUAACUGACCAAAGGCCUUUAUAAGAUGAAUGUAAUGACUGUUCAAAUAAAUAAAAGUUUGAAUUCUUCUUAUUUUCUUGAGUCUUAUGAUUUAUGGUAUGAACGUUUAUGCCAUGUUAGUUUGAAAACAUCACAAAAACUGAUUAAAUUAGAAGUUUUGCCAAACUUUAAGUGCAAUAAAUUAAAGUGUCAAACGUGUGUGGAAUCAAAGUAUGCAAAGCAUCCUUAUAAGUCCGUUGAAAGGAAUUCCAAUCCCUUAGACUUAAUACACACUGGCAUUUGUGAUAUGAAGUCAACACCAUCACGUGGUAGGAAAAAGUAUUUUGAAACUUUUAUUGACGAUUACACAAGAUAUUGUUAUGUCUACAUGCUAAAUAGUAAGGAUGAAGCAAUAGAUGCAUUUAGGUAAUAUAAAACUAAAGUUGAAAAUCAGUUAGACAAAAAGAUCAAAAUGAUAAGAAGUGAUAAGGGCGGAGAAUAUGAAUCUCCCUUUGUGCAAAUAUGUAUAGAGGAUAGAAUAAUCCAUCAGAGUACGGCCCCAUAUUUACCUCAAUCUAAUGGAAUUGCUAAAACGAAAAACCAAACUUUGAAUGAAAUAAUGAAUGCCUUACUUAUAAGUUCUGGUUUACCAAAAAACUUAUGGGGGAAGGAUAUCCUUACGGCCAAUCGUAUACUCAACAGAGUUCCCCAUAGUAUGACACAAUCAAUUUCUUACGAAAAAUGGAAAGGAAGGAAACACAACUUGAAAUAUUUCAAAGUGUGGGGGUAUCUAGCGAAGGUUCAAGUUUCUAUACCUAAAAGGGUUAAGAUAAGACCUAAAACGGUGGACUGCGUGUUCAUAGGAUAUGCUAAAAGUAGUAAAGCAUGUCAAUUUUUGGUUCAUAUAUCCGAACAUUUGGAUAUUAAUAAAAAUACGGUAAGUGAAUCAAACAAUGCUGAAUUCUUUGAAAACACUUACCCAUAUAAAAUUAGACAUGAACAGUCUAGUGGAGGAUAUAAACGACCUUGAGAUGAACCAAGUGAGAAUGUACAUAAUGAAGAAAAUCCAAGACGUAGUACAUGUCAAAGAAUGUCAACUUUGUUUGGGUCGGAUUUUGUAACAUUUCUCUUAGAAAAUAAGCCUCAAACAUUUAGAAAAGUGAAGUCGUCGUCAGACUCAUCCUUUUGGAAAGAGGCAGUCAAUAGUGAGAUAGAUUUAAUCUUAAGCAACCAUACAUGGGAAUUUGUUGACCUUCCUCUCAAAAAUAAACCGUUAGGUUCUAAAUGGAUCUUCAAAAGAAAAAUGAAGGCGGAUGGUACUAUUGACAAAUACAAGGCAAGACUUGUAGUAAAAUGCUUCAAACAGAAGAAAGGCCUUGAUUACUUUGAUAGAUACUCGCCAGUAACAAGGAUAACCUUGAUUCAAAUGUUAAUUGACUUGGCGUCGGUAUAUGAUCUUCAAAUUCAUCAAAUGGAUAUGAAAACCGCAUUCCUAAAUGGAGAUAUAGAGGAAGAAAUAUACAUAGAAUAACCUGAGGGUUUUGUGUUUCUAGGAAAAGAAAAUAAGGUCUGUAAACUUGUUAAGUCACUUUAUAGACUAAAGCAAGCACCUAAAGAAUGGCAUACGAAGUUUGACCAAACCAUGUUGGCAAACGGAUUCAAAAUAAAUGAAUGUGAUAAAUGUGUUUAUAUCAAAGACACUCCAAAUCACCAAGUCAUUAUUUGUUUAUAUGUGGAUGAUAUGUGUAUCAUCAGUAGAGACAUUUCUGACAUAAAUCCAACAAAACGAAUGCUCGAGAGCAAGUUUGAUUUAAAAGACCUUGGAGUUGCAGAUGUGAUCUUAGGUAUAAGAAUCCAUCAAACUCCAUAAAGGUUAGCAUUGUCACAGUCUCAUUAUAUCAAAAAAGUACUCGACAAGUUCAAGUAUAUGGAAUUCGAAAUUGCCAAAACUCCAUUGGAUGUAAACUUUGCAAUUCGAAAGAAUGAAGGUGAAAGUGACUUGCAAUUAGAGUACACAAGUGUAUUGGGAUGUUUUACGUAUAUAAUGAACUGUUGAUGACCAGACAUAGCAUGUGCUAUCAGUAAAUUGAGUCGGUACACGAGUAAUUCCAACAAAACUCAUUGGAUGGCAUUGAAAAGAGUUUUAGGGUAUCUUAAAUACACUCAAGAUUAUGCUUUGCAUUAUAAUAAAUAUCCUGCGGCACUUGAAGGAUAUAGUAAUGCAAAUUGGAUCAUCGGAUCGAACAAAGCAAAAUUCACAAGUGGAUAUGUAUUUAUUAUCGGUGGAGGAGCAGUUUCUUAGAAAUCAUCCGAACAGACUUGUAUCGCUCACUCUACAAUGGAAUCGGAAUUUAUUGCAUUAGAUAAAGCCGGUGAAGAAGUAGAAUGGCUCCAAAAUUUCUUGAAAGAUAUUCCGUAUUAGCCUAAGCCAGUGGUACCACUAUGUAUAAGCUGUGAUAGCCAAGCGGCAAUAGGUAAGGCAGGGAGCAUGAUGUACAAUGGUAAGUCUCAUCACAUAAGACGGAGACAUAAUACCGUUAGAGAACUCCUCUCUAGUGGAAUUAUCACUAUAGAGUAUGUAAAGUCAAAGAAUAAUGUGUCGGAUCCACUUACGAAAGGCCUAUCUAGAGAAGAAGUAGAAAGGACAUCCAAGGGAAUGGGUUUAAGGCCUAGGACAAGUCAGCAUGGCGGUAAACUCUACCUAGCAGUCUGGAGAUCCCAAGAGCUAGGUUCAAGGAGAUCAAAAAAAGUUGUGUCUAGCAGGUUCAACAUUGUUAAUUACCCAACCCAUUCUCAUGAUGUAGAUAAUGUACAGUCAACUAGGAUAAGACUUAAGGUAAAAAGUGUUUUAAUGAUUAUCUAAAUUUAGUAGAUUUGACCAAAUAGUUUAAUCUACAGGAUUGAACGUUUAGAACCCACCUAUGCGAGGGUGAAGUGGAAGCCGCUUCAAGGAGAAUAUUAGUAAAGGCCUAUUCUCUAAGCUCUCAUGAAAUCGAGACGUGUUCAUGGUUGUAAACAACAAAACCAUGAGAACCAUAAACAUUAAAAGGCUGGUUGUGUGAUGUAACGCCCUAAAAAAUGGGUCCCGGAGCGUCACACGGUGCUUGAGGCUACGAUUAGCCCCAAGCUAACCCUUUGAGCCAUUUUCAUUCAGUUCAACACAAAUCAAUGGGGUUUCCAUAAAUAACCCUCAAAUAUCAACAGAGUAAUCAUCAUCCAAGAAUAAAAGAAUUUCAGAAAGAUAACAAAAUAUGACUUAUUAGUCAACUCUCAACAUCUAUACUAGUCUGACAAGCCUCUAAGAAAAUCAAUAAAACCAGCGAGCCAUUGAGACAUGCCCCAACUGACUCAUACUCAGUUAUCAAAUGUAAACAAUUUCGUAAAACCAACAUCAGACAUCACGUCCUCAGAACAUGAGGACUCACCAUAACAGAGGAUGUAGAAUAGCAUGCCCGAAGAAUCACUAUCGAACCUGGAAUUGAGAACCUGGACCUACAUUUCGAGAAAAUGCAGCCCACAUCCGAAGAUGUAGGUCAGUACCAUGGAAAGAAAUCAAGUAUAUAAGGGUUUAUGCAGUUGUAUAAACAUCAUCAUCAUAAAUAUUUAUAAGAAAUAUGCAGGACGUAUGAAAGACUCAGCCCGAAGAAAAUCAUCAUAAUCAUGAGAGGAUGAAAUAAGUACAAUAACAUAUGUGUGUCAUCAUAUAAUUUGUCAAUCACUUUCAGUUCAUCAAGAAUAUCAAUUCUCAUAAUGUAAAUAUCAUUUAAAUCUUUCAAAAGAAUAACUUUCACAAUUCCACUUUCAAAUCACUUCACAAUUCAACAUAGACACAAGAAAACACACACACACUGGGAGAUCCUAUAACCGACAUAAACCAUGUGAGCUACAAGGAGUCCAACGUACAAUCCACAUUGGGGAGAGCCAUCCUAUCCUUGCCAUCGGAGUAGGACUAUCGAUAUCAAAUCCACACAAACUAGUGAUCACUAUAUAAAUCAGCCUCAGGCUCACUCCUANNNNNNNNNNNNNNNNNNNNNNNNNNNNNNNNNNNNNNNNNNNNNNNNNNNNNNNNNNNNNNNNNNNNNNNNNNNNNNNNNNNNNNNNNNNNNNNNNNNNNNNNNNNNNNNNNNNNNNNNNNNNNNNNNNNNNNNNNNNNNNNNNNNNNNNNNNNNNNNNNNNNNNNNNNNNNNNNNNNNNNNNNNNNNNNNNNNNNNNNNNNNNNNNNNNNNNNNNNNNNNNNNNNNNNNNNNNNNNNNNNNNNNNNNNNNNNNNNNNNNNNNNNNNNNNNNNNNNNNNNNNNNNNNNNNNNNNNNNNNNNNNNNNNNNNNNNNNNNNNNNNNNNNNNNNNNNNNNNNNNNNNNNNNNNNNNNNNNNNNNNNNNNNNNNNNNNNNNNNNNNNNNNNNNNNNNNNNNNNNNNNNNNNNNNNNNNNNNNNNNNNNNNNNNNNNNNNNNNNNNNNNNNNNNNNNNNNNNNNNNNNNNNNNNNNNNNNNNNNNNNNNNNNNNNNNNNNNNNNNNNNNNNNNNNNNNNNNNNNNNNNNNNNNNNNNNNNNNNNNNNNNNNNNNNNNNNNNNNNNNNNNNNNNNNNNNNNNNNNNNNNNNNNNNNNNNNNNNNNNNNNNNNNNNNNNNNNNNNNNNNNNNNNNNNNNNNNNNNNNNNNNNNNNNNNNNNNNNNNNNNNNNNNNNNNNNNNNNNNNNNNNNNNNNNNNNNNCUGUCCUUUGGUGGACUAUUUUGAUAGUCUGAAGUAGAUCAACCAUAAUGUUUUGCUCCGAUAUCCAAAUUGGAUGAAACUAAUUUCAUUAUAAAGAAGACUCUCAUAUAUUUCCAUUGAUAUAUAGUAUCUCACCCAGAUCAUUGUUUACGAAGAGUUAUGAUCGUUUGAAAUUGAUCCAAAAAUUCACUUUUGAUAGGCUGAAGUAGAUUGACCAUAACUUUUUGUUUCGAUAGACAAAUUGGAUGAAACUAAUUUCAUUGGAAAGAGGACUCACAGAGCUUUCUUUUAAUAUAUAGUAAAUCACCCAGAUCAUUAUGUACAAGUAGUUAUGAUCGUUUAAAGUUGGAGAAAAAAUACGCCAGGCCUCAAUACUUUUUCCUGCACNNNNNNNNNNNNNNNNNNNNNNNNNNNNNNNNNNNNNNNNNNNNNNNNNNNNNNNNNNNNNNNNNNNNNNNNNNNNNNNNNNNNNNNGCUUAUUCGAUACUCUACGUAAUGGUGGCUCAUAAUCUAAGACAUUCCGCACGAAAAAUUUAUAAUUCAUUCUAGAAGAUAGAACCCAACACGUUUGUGCACAAAAUUUCAACAAAAAAUUUCCCGGGGUAUUACAUGUGACAUGUAUUGUAUAGGUGUACAAUAAAACUCAAAGUUUCAAAGAUAUCAAAUCUACCGAUUGACCGAGUGCAUUCGAUGCAUGUUCACUACAGAAAGUUCAAAGGGAAACCCACUUAUCCAGAUGGAAUCAGUCUUUGCUUGAUGAUCACAUACUUGCCCGUAAAACUUUUAUGAAAAAUAGACAUUCCCCAUUCAUGUGGGGGAUUUUUGGGUUCAUAGAAAUGUGAAUGGAAAAUGGAGAAAAAAAAUUGUGGAGAAGAGGAGAUGCCAUUUUGGAAAGUGUACUCCCAAAAUUGGAAAGCUCACUAAUUCUCCCAUAUUGGUGAGAGAAAGGAACUUUGGAGUGUUUAUAAUGAUGAACACUUACUCCACAUGGUAAGUGAGGCAAUAAAUAAUAGAUGCCUCACGCCGUCGUCGUCAUCGCUUGCUCAUCUCGGCUUUGGAUUUGAAUUUUGAUUUGGAUUUGUCAAAUGAUCGAUCGAUGAGAUCUAUCUUUUUGGACAAAAUUUAUUUGAAUUUCAAAAAUACCAACAGUAACGCAGUAAAUAUUUUUUGUGUUUAAUACUCCAUUUAUAUGAUUUCAGUUUUAUUACGAAAGCAACGAAAGUGUGCAUGUAGAAUCUAUUUCGAACAGAUGCUUCAGGUAAAUUUUUGAACUGAUGUAAUUUUUCACUGAAAUGGUGCACAGUUUUGAAACUGAACUGAUGCACUGUUUCAGUAAACUGAUGCAUUGCUUCAGAACUAAUGCAUUGUUCUAAUGAACUGACACACUUAUUCACGAAAUGGCAUGCCUGUUCAAAACAGUUAUAAAAAUUGGACGAAUAGACAUGAAUUUUCAGAAAAGGUUACACCUUUUAGAUGAACCUUUGCCACUUUUCAGAAGAGGCAUCUUGUGGCUAUAAAAAACUGGUUUCAUCAAUUGGUUUGCAUACGAAAUUUUCAUAUUAAAAACUCUCUUCUUGUCUUAAAAAUAUUCUGUGUGAUCACUCAAAACAUUUUGUGAGUUCGAAGAUAUUCCAACCGUUUGAGGUACCGCUACUGUUGGUCUGGUUAGCCAUUUUAUUCUGGGAGGAAAAAUUUUACAACCUCGGAUACAAUGAGGGGGAUUAUUUCCUUAAGGAAAAUUUGUGAAUUCGGAUGACUUGACUAUUUUCUAUUUCAUCUUAAUUUCUGCAAAAUAAAAUACACCUCUUGACAAGGUCAUUUUGAUCUUGUGUUGAGGGUAUUUGAUAUACUUCAUUGUGUUCUUCUUUAUACUUGAACCCAAGUUAAAGUUGUUGUUGUAAUAUACAGAUUCUGUGUACCCAAAGUACAAACUAAUUAACAAUCUUAAGGAAAUAAGUUACUAUUACAGAAUAUGUGUUUCUUGUUUUUGGAGAUUAAAGUUUUAACUUUCUACUCCGCCUGAACUUAAAUAGUGAUUUGAAGUCAUAAAAACUUUGUCACAAGUUAAAGAUCAUUCGGUUGACAAUUGAAAGUCAUAAAAACUUCACUGUUAACUAGAAACAAGAAAAAAAAUUAAAGUUUCUUAAUUUUUAUAAGUAGUAUUCUGAAAAUACUAAGUAUUUUUUAUCUUGUGGUGACAGAAAAAUGGCAACUGUAAGUCAAAUGAUGGAUACGACAACAUCUGUGGGGGCAACUAAUAUUGCCACAUCAAGUCACACAAAUGCUCCGCCAACAAUGGCAUCGGCUGAGAAGCCCAAAAAAAUUUUGGACAUUGACUUCAAGCGGUGGCAGUAAAAGAUGUUCUUUUACCUCACCACUUUAUGUCUACAACGAUUCACUAGUGAAGAUGCUCCUAAGGUACCUGAGGGAACCUCAAACAAAGACCGCUUCGUUAUUAUAGAAGCUUGAAAACAUUUGGACUUUCUUUCUAGGAAUUAUAUUCUGAGUGGUCUCCAAGACGACCUUAACAAUGUUUAUAGUGGAACAAAGACAUCAAAGGAACUGUGGGGGGCACUUGAACAAAAAUAUAAGACGGAGGAUAUGGGAAUUAAAAAAUUCCUUGUUGUACGAUUCCUGGACAUCAAAAUGAUAGAUAGCAAAUCUAUUGUCUCUCAAGUACAAGAGUUGCAAGUCAUCAUACAUGAUCUCCUAGCAGAAGGUAUAUCUUUGAACAAUACCUUAGUUGAACAAAUUAAAAAUGUUCUUAAUACUCACAUAAACUGUUUUGAAGAUUUAAUUGUGAAUGAUGCUUUCCAAGUAGCAGCGAUAGUUGAGAAGCUACCACCUUUGUGGAAAGACUUCUAAAACUACUUUAAGCAUAAACGCAAGGAGAUGACAGUUGAAGAUCUUAUUGUCCGACUUCGUAUUGAAGAGGAUAAUAAAGCUACCAAAAGAAGGUCAAAGGGGAAAUCUGCAAUUAAUGGAGCACAUAUUGUAGAAGAUGACCAAAACAAUUCCAAGAAAAGAAAGAAAGCUGAACAAGGAAGCAAUCAACCCAAGAAAAAGUUCAAGGGAAAAUGCUUCAACUGUGACAAGAUUGGCCACAAGUCCACACAUUGUUGUGCCCUAAAGAAAGGCAAGAAGAAGGAUCAAGCAAAUAUGAUUGAAUCCAAUAAAGAAUGCAAUGAUCUCUGUGCUAUGUUCUCAGAAUGCAACUUGACGGGGAAUCCUCGUGAAUGGUGGAUGGAUUCUGGUGCCACCCGCCAUGUUUGUGUCAACAGAGAGUUGUUUUCAUCAUUUGCUCUGACUCAAGUAGAAGAAAUGAUCUACAUGGCUAACUCCGCUUUUGCUAAGGUGGAAAAAAUAGGGAAAAUAUGUUUAAAAAUGACUUCAGGCAAGGUCUUGACACUUAACAAUGUCUUGUAUGUUCCCGAAUUACGUAGGAACUUAAUCGUUGUUUCACUUCUAGACAAGGACGGAUUCAAAUGUGUAAUCGUUUAUGGAAAAAUUGUAAUUAGCAAAGGAGAAAUAUAUAUAGGAAAAGGCUAUCUGACCGAAGGCCUUUAUAAGAUGAAUGUAAUGACUGUUGAAAAAAAUAAAAGUUCGAAUUCUUUUUAUUUGCUUGAGUCUUAUGAUUUAUGGUAUGACGUUUAUGCCAUGUUAAUUACAAAACAUUACGAAAACUGAUUAACUUAGAAGUUUUGCCAAACUUUAAGUGCAAUAAAUCAAAGUGUCAAACGUAUGUGGAAUCGAAAUAUGCAAAGCAUCCUUAUAAGUCCAUUGAAAGGAAUUCCAAUCCCUUAGACUUAAUACACACUGACAUUUGUGAUAUGCAGUCAACACCAUCACGCGGUGGGAAAAAGUAUUUCAUAACUUUUAUUGACAAUUGCACAAGAUAUUGUUAUGUCUACUUGCCAAAUAGUAAGGAUGAAGCAAUAGAUGCGUUUAGGCAAUAUAAAAUUGAAGUUAAAAAUCAGUUAGACAAAAAAAUCAAAAUGAUAAGAAGUGAUAGGGGCGGAGAAUAUAAAUCUCCCUUUGUGCAAAUAUGUGUAGAGAAUGGAAUAGUCCAUCAAACUAUGGCCCCAUAUUUACCUCAAUCUAAUGGAAUUGUGGAAAGGAAAAACCAAAAUUUAAAGGAAAUGAUGAAUGUCGUACUUAUAAGUUCUGGUUUACCGCAAAACUUAUGGGGGGAAGCUAUCCUUACGGCCAAUUGUAUACUCAACAGAGUUCCCUAUAGUAUGACACAAUCAAUUUCUUAUGAAAAAUGGAAAGGAAGGAAACACAACUUGAAAUAUUUCAAAGUGUGGGGGUAUCUAGCGAAGGUUCAAGUUUCUAUACCUAAAAGGGUUAAGAUAAGACCUAAAAUAGUGGACUGUGUGUUCAUAGGAUAUGCUAAAAGUAGUAAAGCAUGUCAAUUUUUGGUUCAUAUAUCUGAACAUCCAGAUAUUAAUGAAAAUACAUUAAUUGAAUCAGACAAUACUGAAUUCUUUGAAAAUAUUUACCCAUAUAAAAUUAGACAUGAACAGUCUAGUGGAGGAUAUAAACUACCUUGAGAUGAACCAAGUGAGAGCGUACAUAAUGAAGAAAAUCCAAGACAUAGUACACAUCAAAGAACAUCAACUUCGUUUGGAUCGGAUUUUGUAAUAUUUCUCUUAUAAAAUAAGCCUCAAACGUUUAGAUAAGCGAUGUCGUUAUCAGACUCAUCCUUUUAGAAAUAGGCAGUCAAUAGUGAGAUAGAUUUAAUCUUAAGCAACCAUACAUGGGAAUUGGUUGACCUUCUUCCCAAAAAUAAACUGUUAGGUUCUAAAUCGAUCUUCAAAAAGAAAAUAAAGGUGGAUGGUACUAUUGACAAAUACAAGGCAAGACUUAUAGUAAAAGGAUUCAAACAGAAAAAAAGGCUUGAUUACUUUGAUACAUACUCGCAAGUAACAAGGAUAACCUCGAUUUUAAUGUUAAUUGCCUUGGCGUUGGUAUAUGAUCUUUAAAUCCAUCAAAUAGAUGUGAAAACCGCAUUCCUAAAUGAAGAUUUGGAGAAAGAAAUAUACAUGGAACAACCUGAGGGUUUUAUGGUUCUAGGAAAAAAAAUAAGGUGCGUAAACUUGUUAAGUCACUUUAUGGACUAAAGCAAGCACCUAAACAAUGGCAUGCUAAGUUUGACCAAACCAUGUUGGCAAACGGAUUCAAAAUAAAUGAAUGUGAUAAAUGUGUUUAUAUUAAAUACACUCUAAAUCACCAAGUCAUUGUUUAUUUAUAUCUGGAUGAUAUGUUGAUCAUCAAUAGAGAUAUUUCUGACAUAAAUGCAACAAAACGAAUGCUCAAGAGCAAGUUUGAUAUGAAAGACCUUGGAGUUGUAGAUGUGAUCUUAGGUAUAAGAAUCCAUCAAACUUCACAAGGGUUAGCAUUGCCACAGUCUCAUUAUAUCAAAAAUGUACUUGACAAGUUCAAGUAUAUGGAAUUCGGUAUUGCCAAGACUCCAUUGGAUGUGAACUUUGCAAUUUGAAAGAAUGAAGGUGAAAGUGACUCGCAAUUGGAGUACGCAAGAGUAUUGGGAUGUUUAAUGUAUCUAAUGAACUGUACACGACCAGACAUAGCAUGUGCUAUCAGUAAAUUGAGUCGGUACACGAGUAAUCCCAACAAAACUCAUUGGAUGGCAUUGAAAAUAGUUUUGGGGUAUCUUAAAUACACUCAAGAUUAUGCUUUGCAUUAUAAUAAAUAUCCUGCGGUACUUGAAGGAUAUAGUGAUGCAAAUUGGAUCACCGGAUCGAACGAAGUAAAAUCCACAAGUGGAUAUGUAUUUAUUAUCGGUGGAGGAGCAGUUUCUUAGAAAUCAUCCAAACAGACUUGUAUCGCUCGCUCUACAAUGGAAUCUGAAUUUACCGCAUUAGAUAAAGCCGGUGAAAAAGCAGAAUGGCUCUGGAAUUUCUUGGAAGAUAUUCUGUAUUGACCCAAGUUAGUGGCACCAGUAUGUAUACACUGUGAUAGCCAAGCGGCAAUAGGUAGGGCAGGAAGCAUGAUAUACUACGGUAAAUCUUGUCACAUACGACGGAGACAUAAUACCGUUAGAGAACUCCUCCCUAGUGGAAUUACCACUAUAGACUAUGUAAAGUCGAAGGAUAAUGUGUUGGAUACACUUACAAAAGGUUUUUCUAGAGAAGGAGUAGAAAGGACAUCCAAGGGAAUGGGUUUAAGGCCUAGGACAAGUCAGCAUGGCGGUAACUCUUCCUAGCAGACGGGAGAUCCCCAGAGUUAGGUCCAAGGAGAUCAAAAAAAGUUGUGUCUGGCAGGUUCAACAUUGUCAAUUACCCAACCCAAUCUCAUGAUGUUGACAAUGUACAGUAAACUAGGAUUAGACUUAAGGUAAAAACUCUUUUAAUGAUUAUCUAAAUUUGGCAGAUUUGACCAAAUAGUUUAAUCUACAGGAUUGAACGUUUAGAAAUCACCUAUGCGAGGGUGAAGUGGAAGCCGCUUCAAGGAGGAUGUUAGUAAAGGCCUAUUCUCUAAGCUCUCAUAAAAUCGGGACGUGUUCAUAGCUGAAAAGAACAAAAUCAUGAGAACCAUAAACGUUAAAAGGCUAGUUAUGUGACAUGUAUUGUUUAGGUGUACAAUAAAGCUCGACGAUUCAAAGAUAUCAAAUCUACCGAUUGACCGAGUGCAUCCGAUACAUGUUCACUACGGAAAGUUCAAAGGGAAACCCACUUAUCCAGAUGCAAUCAGUCUUUGCUUGAUGAUCACAUACUUGUCCAUAAAAGUUUUAUGAAAAAUAGUCAUUACCCAUUCAUGUGGGGGAUUGUUGGGUUCAUAGAAGUGUGAAUGGAAAAUGAAGGAAAAAAAUGGUGGAGAAGAGGAGACACCAAUUUGGAAAGUGUACUCCCAAAAUUGGAAAGUUCACUAAUUCUCCCACAUUGGUGGGAGAAAGGAACUUUGGAGUGUUUAUAAUGAUGAACACUUACUCCACAUGGUAAGUGAGGCAAGAAAUAAGAGAUACCUCGUGCUGUCGUCGUCGUCGCUCGCUCGGCUCGGCUUCGGAUUUGGAUUUGGGUUUGUCAAAUGAUCGAUCGAUGAGAUCUAUCUUUUUGGACAAAAUUUAUUUGAAUUUCAAAAAUACCAACAGUAAUGCAGUAAAUAUUUUCAGUGUUUAAUACUCCAUUUACAUGAUUUCAAUUUUAUUACGAAAGCAACGAAAGCAUGCAUGCAGAAGCUAUUUCGAAUGGAUGCUUCAAAUAAAUAUUUGAACUGAAGCAAUUUUUCACUGAAAUGGUGCACAGUUUCAAAACUGAACUGAUGCACUGUUUCAGUAAACUGAUGCACUGCUUCAGAACUGAUGCAUUGUUUCAAUGAACUAACACACUUAUUCACGAAAUGGCAUACCUGUUUAGAACAGUCACAAUAUUUGGACGAAUAGACAUGAAUUUUCAGAAAAGGUUACACCUUUUAGAUGAACCUUUGCCACUUUUCAGAAGAGGCAUCUUGUGGCUAUAAAAAACUGGUUUCAUCAACUGGUUUGCAUACGAAAUUUUCAUAUUAAAAACUCUCUUCUUGUCUUAAAAAUAUUCUGUGUGAUCACUCAAAACAUUCUGUGAGUUCGAAGAUAUUCCAACCGUUUGAGGUACAGCUACUGUUGGUCUGGUUAGCCAUUUUAUCCUGGGAGGAAAAAUUUCACAACCUCGGGUACAAUGAGGGGGAUUAUUUCCUUAAGGAUAAUUUGUGAAUUCGGAUGACUUGGCUAUUUUCUGUUUCAUCUUAAUUUCUGCAAAAUAAAAUACACCUCUUGAAAAGGUCAUUUUGAUCUUGUGUUGAGGGUAUUCGAUAUACUUCAUUGUGUUCUUCUUUAUACUUGAACUCAAGUUGAAGUUGUUGUUGUAAUAUACAGAUUCUGUGUACCCGAAGUACAAACUAAUUAACAUAAAUAAGUAGCGGUGAAUAUAACAAAAAUAAAAGAGGAACCUCAAUAGGUACAUAAAAUAACAAAUUCAAAUUUUAACUUUUUUCGAGGCGGUCAUUUUUAAGUUAGAAGAUAGUUCAAAAUGGUAGUAUAUCUCACACACAAAUUUUAACAAUAAUAUCUAUGUGAUUUUAAAAUAUUUUUACUAAUUCACAAUAAAAUGCACAUAAGAUGCACAUACGUCGCACAAUAUGCACGUACGUUCCACGAGGUGCACAUAAAAGCUAAUUUUAUUAAUAUAUCUGAAACUUUUUAUCAAGAAUUGACUUUAGGCCAUUAAAUUUAUUGAGCUGCUCUUGUCCAUAUAAAUUCAAAAUGAUAUAUUAAUCCUUACAAUCAAGCAAUAUUAUAUUAAUACUUAUGUACAAAGUGGAAAUAUAAAUUAUAAUGAAGAUACCCUAAAAAAAAAAGUUAAAAUAGUAAUCUAAACGUGGGAAUCAAAGUAAUUAGUGAAGUUAUUAGAACUAAGAAACCAUUUCCACUGAAUUAAAUAUCACUAGAUUCAACAAACUAUUUUUCGUUUUGUUUAGGUGAUAGAAGAGAUAAAACAUAUAAAAAAAUAACAAAGUAUUAACCUAAACAAGACAUUCAUUGAAAUACAAUUAUCUUUAUCUCUCCUUUUUUAGUUUUUUUUUUUUAAAAAGCCAUUUGUGUGCUAAUCCUAGAGGGAGUAUGUUUAUAACACAAAAAAAUCUUCGUUUUCCUUUUUCUCUAUAAUUGCACGUUGUUGGUUGUAGUUAAGAUUUUAUGAGUUACCACACUGAUGCUAUUAUAAUGUUAUUAAAACAUGGCCUUUAUUAGCUACAAUGAUGUUCAUACGUUGUAAAAAUAAUUACAAGCCAAUAAAAUCUCUGAAGGUAGGCUCUUCUAAUUACUAUUUAUACAUAUGACAACUUUUAUUGAGUAAUCAAUUCAUUCAUUUAAUUUAAACAAUAUGCAUUGUGGAUUAUAUAUUAUGGUGGGUGAAGAAAUGGAUAUGCUAGACAGUCAUAUGUUAUUUUAUUUUUAUUAUUAAGUUUAAUUUUAUCUUGUUUAACCGAACGAUUCAGUCAUAAACGAUCCCAAUAUCUAUUUAUGUCCAAUACAAUAAUUGAGGUUUUUCUUACUGUAUAUAUUUUAUUAUAAAAAAUAUAUGGAUUACCAUGUACAAAGUAAAAUUUUGAUUGAACAAAGGAUUUUACAUUUAUACUAAACACAAACCACACCAUCAAUAUAUAUANNNNNNNNNNNNNNNNNNNNNNNNNNNNNNNNNNNNNNNNNNNNNNNNNNNNNNNNNNNNNNNNNNNNNNNNNNNNNNNNNNNNNNNNNNNNNNNNNNNNNNNNNNNNNNNNNNNNNNNNNNNNNNNNNNNNNNNNNNNNNNNNNNNNNNNNNNNNNNNNNNNNNNNNNNNNNNNNNNNNNNNNNNNNNNNNNNNNNNNNNNNNNNNNNNNNNNNNNNNNNNNNNNNNNNNNNNNNNNNNNNNNNNNNNNNNNNNNNNNNNNNNNNNNNNNNNNNNNNNNNNNNNNNNNNNNNNNNNNNNNNNNNNNNNNNNNNNNNNNNNNNNNNNNNNNNNNNNNNNNNNNNNNNNNNNNNNNNNNNNNNNNNNNNNNNNNNNNNNNNNNNNNNNNNNNNNNNNNNNNNNNNNNNNNNNNNNNNNNNNNNNNNNNNNNNNNNNNNNNNNNNNNNNNNNNNNNNNNNNNNNNNNNNNNNNNNNNNNNNNNNNNNNNNNNNNNNNNNNNNNNNNNNNNNNNNNNNNNNNNNNNNNNNNNNNNNNNNNNNNNNNNNNNNNNNNNNNNNNNNNNNNNNNNNNNNNNNNNNNNNNNNNNNNNNNNNNNNNNNNNNNNNNNNNNNNNNNNNNNNNNNNNNNNNNNNNNNNNNNNNNNNNNNNNNNNNNNNNNNNNNNNNNNNNNNNNNNNNNNNNNNNNNNNNNNNNNNNNNNNNNNNNNNNNNNNNNNNNNNNNNNNNNNNNNNNNNNNNNNNNNNNNNNNNNNNNNNNNNNNNNNNNNNNNNNNNNNNNNNNNNNNNNNNNNNNNNNNNNNNNNNNNNNNNNNNNNNNNNNNNNNNNNNNNNNNNNNNNNNNNNNNNNNNNNNNNNNNNNNNNNNNNNNNNNNNNNNNNNNNNNNNNNNNNNNNNNNNAAAGUGCGGGGCGGAUUAAUUUUUUUUUUAGAAAAAUCAAACUUCUUACGUGGCUCUGACGUGGAUGUGGUAGCGAGUGUGAUGCACUCUCCCUAAUGAGAGUGGUAUUAAAUAUUAAAGGGGGAAAUUAAUUCACUUUAAAAAUGUUAAGGGGGUAAAUAAACGGAAGUUAAGUUUAACUGCUAAAGUGAGCUGGGAGGACAAGUUUAGGGGGAGUUUUGAUGCAUUUUCUCUUUAUUAAACUUAAUCUUUACCAAAAAUAUUUUUAAAAGUCAGUCGACAUUCAUCUACCAUAUGUAAAUUGCUUUAAAACAAUACAAUGAUAGAGGCAUCAAAAUAAUACGACUAAAUCUAAUUUUUACACACAAAAAUUUUCUCAAAAUCGUCUGACACUCAUCUAUCACCUGUAAACAAUAACAAAAUUAUACGAUAAUAGAGAUAUCAAAAUAAUACAACUAAACUUAUCCUUUACAUAAAAAAAAUUCCUAAAGUCGAUCAACAUUUAUCUAUCACCUGUAAAUUGCAACAAAAUAAUACGAGAAAAGUGAUAUCAAAACAAUACAAUUAAACUUAAAUUUUACAUACAAAAAUUUCUCAAAGUCGAUCGAGAUUCAUCUACGAACUGUAAACUAUCACAAACUAACAAACUAAUAGAGAUAUUACGAUAAUACAAAUAAACCUAACUUUUACCUGAAAAAAAAUUUCAAAGCCAACCCACAUUUAUCUAACAUCUAUAAAUUAAAAUAAAACAAUAAGAUAAUAAAUAUAUCAAAAAAACACAAUUAAAUCUAACCUUUACGUAAGAAAUUUUUCAAACCAACCGACAUUCAUCUACGACCUAUAAACUAUAGAAAAAAUAUAAUAGUGAUCACAAAGCUACAAAAACAGUGAAGAAGUUGAGGGUUAAAAAAUCAAGUAUCCAUCAAUCUAGACAUGCAAUCGAAUUAAGUUAGAUGAGCAUCAAUCAUAUUAUCCCAAUAUACAAACUGGUUUAUUCUCUAGUUUAACGUACAUCCCAAUACUUAUAGAAGUAUUUCCUUAAUAGAGUCCUAUUUUAGGAGUAUUUUUCUAAUUUAAUAGAAAAGAAAAUAUUAAUUAAUUCUUCUACCAUAUAUUUUAGGAGUCUCAUAUAUUUUAGGAAGUUUAGUAGAAAGGAAAAUAUUAAUUAAUUCUGCUAUCAUAUAUUUCAUGAGUCCCAUAUAUUUUAGGAAGUCUAGUUAAUAUAAUAAAAAUAAUUAAAUAAUAAAUUAAAAAAUAGUGAAAAGACAAUUUUGACUAAAGAAUGGUCUUUUAAUGAAGGGUAAAAAGUUCAAAUCAUUUUUCUAAGGAUCUUCACACUUUUAAUAUAUACUACUUUAGGUGUACGCGCCUUGCGCGUGUACCUCCCUUUAAUGAGUUCAAAUAUUAUAUUAAAUAUAAUAUUUUUUUAAAUAAUAAAGAUGAAUAUAAUAACUAAAUUUAAUAUCUUUUGAGUAUGUAAAGAUAGAGAAUUUUUUUGUUAAACCUAAUAUUUAUCAAAAAUAUUUUAAAAAUCGAUCGGCAUUCAUCUACCAUCUGUAAAUUGCAACAAAAUAAUAUAAUGAUAGAGACAUUAAAAUAAUACAAUUAAACUUAAAUUUUACACAUAAAAAUUUCUCAAAGACGAAUUCAUCUACAAACUGUAAACUACCACAAAAUAACAAACUAAUAGAGAUAUUAUGAUAAUACAAUUAAACUUAAAUUUUACACAUAAAAAUUUCUCAAAGACGAAUUCAUCUACAAACUGUAAACUACCACAAAAUAACAAACUAAUAGAGAUAUUAUGAUAAUACAAUUAAACUUAAAUUUUACACAUAAAAAUUUCUCAAAGACGAAUUCAUCUACAAACUGUAAACUACCACAAAAUAACAAACUAAUAGAGAUAUUAUGAUAAUACAAUUAAACCUAACCUUUACCUAAAAAAAUUUCAAAGUCGACCCACAUCCAUCUAGCAUCUUUAAAUUAAAAUAAAAUAAUAAGAUAAUGAAGAUAUCAAAAUAAUAAAAUUAAAUCUAAUCUUUACACGAAAAAUUUUCAAAGUCAACCGACAUUCAUCUAUGACCUGUAAACUAUACAAAAAUAUAAUAGUGAUCAUAAAGCUUCGAUUUUGAUCCAACUAAUUCUUGUCUGGUCGAAAAUUUUGAACCUAAAGAAUGAUUUUGAAUGAAAACAAAGAAGAUAUAUAUAUACACACAUGUUGAAUUCUAUUAUACUGGCGAAAAUAGUGAAGAAGUUAAGGGUUAGAAAAUCAAGCAUCCACCAUCUAGACAUGCAAUUGAAUCAAGUUAGAUGCGCAUCAAUCAUAUUCUCCCAAUAGGUAAUCGGUUUGUUCUCUAGUUUAACGUACAUCUCAAUAUUUAUAAAAGUAUUUCCUUAAUAUAAUCCUAGUUUAGGAGUAUUUUAUUUUAGGAGUAUUUUCUAAUUGAAUAGUACAAAGAAAAAUAUUAAUUAAUUUUCCUACCAUAUAUUUUAGGAGUCCCAUAUAUUUUAGGAAGUCUUGUAGAAAGAAAAAUAUUAAUUAAUUCUCUUACCAUAUAUUUUAGGAGUCCCAUAUAUUUUNNNNNNNNNNNNNNNNNNNNNNNNNNNNNNNNNNNNNNNNNNNNNNNNNNNNNNNNNNNNNNNNNNNNNNNNNNNNNNNNNNNNNNNNNNNNNNNNNNNNNNNNNNNNNNNNNNNNNNNNNNNNNNNNNNNNNNNNNNNNNNNNNNNNNNNNNNNNNNNNNNNNNNNNNNNNNNNNNNNNNNNNNNNNNNNNNNNNNNNNNNNNNNNNNNNNNNNNNNNNNNNNNNNNNNNNNNNNNNNNNNNNNNNNNNNNNNNNNNNNNNNNNNNNNNNNNNNNNNNNNNNNNNNNNNNNNNNNNNNNNNNNNNNNNNNNNNNNNNNNNNNNNNNNNNNNNNNNNNNNNNNNNNNNNNNNNNNNNNNNNNNNNNNNNNNNNNNNNNNNNNNNNNNNNNNNNNNNNNNNNNNNNNNNNNNNNNNNNNNNNNNNNNNNNNNNNNNNNNNNNNNNNNNNNNNNNNNNNNNNNNNNNNNNNNNNNNNNNNNNNNNNNNNNNNNNNNNNNNNNNNNNNNNNNNNNNNNNNNNNNNNNNNNNNNNNNNNNNNNUUAAUAUAAUAAAAAUAAUUAAAUAAUAAAUUAAAAAUAGUGAAAAUACAGUUUUGUCUAAAUAAGAGUCUUUUAAUGAAGGGUAAAAUGUUCAAAUCACUUUUCUAAGGGUCUUCACACUUUUAAUAUAUUAUAGAAUAGAUUAUAGAUAUAGAUAUAGAUUAUAGAUUAUAGAUUAUUGAUAUAGAUUAUAGAUAUAUUAUAGAUUUUAUAUAUAUAUAUAGAGAGAGAGAGAGAGAGAUAGAUAGAUACAUAGAUAGAUAGAUAGAUAGAAAGAUAGAUAGAUAUAGAUUAUAGAUUAUAGAUUAUAGAUUAUAUAUAUAUAUAGAUAUAGAUUAUAUAUAGAUCAUAGAUUAUAAAUUAUACAUAUAUAUAGAUAUAGAUUAUAUAUAUAUAUAUAUAUAUAUUUUGAAAGCCAGAUAACAUCAAUAUAUCGAUUUUAGCUUUGAAUUUAAAGUUGAUAUAUAUAAAAAUUUAACGUAAAAUGUUGAUCGAUUUUUUUAACACUUCAAAACUGCAUUUUAAUUUGCUUUGCUGGGACUUCUAUCAAUUCCGAAAUUAAUUUCUUCAUUGAUAGAAGAAUCUUCAAGAUCUAAACUUAGACAACCAUAAUAGUAUAAAUAAAAUUAUAUUUAUCCAACUUGCAUACAAUAUUUCUUUUUUCAAAUUACAGAUGACAAAACUAAUAGCAAAGGAGAUGACAGAAACAUAUACGUUUAAUUAUAAUUUAGAUAUAUUUCUAUCACAAAUAAUUAUUAUGUUUGUGUAGGUGUCCACGAUAAAAUUGAUAAUUAUCUACUGUCCAUUCUAAGGAAGGCAUAUAUUUCUUUAUUUAUUUUACUAUUUUUUUCUUUUAUUUGCUUUAAAUAUUCACCUUCAUAACUAAUAUCUGAUUAUCAAUUCAAUUGCUGCUUUUAAUGUCCAUAACUCUCAUGGUUUUUAUAUUCAUGACCUUCUUUAAUUUAAAAUUAAAACUUUGAGAUAUCUUUUGAUAUUUCUCCAUUUUAUCUAUAUAAAUCAUCUUUUUUAUUUUGUGAGCCCUCUAUCUAAUCAGAGGCAAAUCUAGGAUUUGAAGAUAGGGAGUGCACCAUUAUUUUUAAUAUGGUCAUGUCAAUUAUCAACUACAUAAUUUAACAUAUAAUUUUUUUAAAUUUAAAAAUUAUAAAAAUAUUAUGAUCAAAAGUAUAAACUUCAAAAUGAUCAAAUGACAAUAAUUUAGUACUAAUAUAACAAAAGUAGACCAUCCUUUUAUACUAGAUAUCGACGCAUUUUCAUAUUUUGAAAACGAUCAAUGAUUGCAUCGUUGCUUAUAUUUACAAAUACAUCGUUCUCAAUAUAACAAACUAAAUAAUCACUUAAAAAUACAUCACCAAUACUGCUACGCAACUCAUUCUUGAUAUACUUUAUGGAUGAAAAAGUUUUCUCUACAGUUGCAGUAGUGACUGGUAAAAUCAACGUCAACUUCACAAGUACAUAAGAGAACAAGUCUCCACAAGAUUUGCAUUAACCAGUGCUUCUCCGCCAAAUCAUCAAUUCCUUUCAAAUUAGAGAAUAUAGGAUCACCACGUCGCAUGUGUAUAAUGAAAGUAUCAAGUUGGUAACCAAGCUCUCGAAGCUUUGAUUCACCAAACUCAUCUGGAUAAUGCUUGAUCAAUAUUAUUAUUUUUUCCUUAUCAAAAUUAGCAAAAACAUUAAUUGGAUUUAAACUUUUCAUACCAAGAAGCAAGUUACCACUCACAACAUCAAAAUGAUUAUUAAGCUUUUAAAGUUGCAAGUCAAUUAUAGUAUAAAAGAGCUCAACAUGUAAAUAGUGUGAGUAACACUAGAGAAGGCCUACACUUUGACUUUUCGAGAAGAUAAAAUCAUCCAUCUUAGGUACCAAGAUUUCAUGUUUAUCACAAAAUACGCAAACUCCAUUCACCAAAGAAUCUCAUCCAUCAUCUCUCAAUAAUUGCAAUCUUCUCUUAAUAAUGUUAAGAGAUAUCAUGGCAUUGACAAUAUAUUUCUCUUUCCUUUAUAAUGAUGCACUCAUCUCAUUGGACAUCACCAAUAUUUUCAGCAUCAAGUGAAGAAAGAAAACAAAUUCAAAGUCAUUGAUCAUGUCAAAAAAACUCCUGCUUGCAAUCUUUCAUUGGGAUUAGAGCCUCCACAUUUAAUCGCAUCAAGUACAUGAGAUAUAGAUAAAAAUAAAACAAUAAAGUUAUUCAAUGUUCUAAAAUGUGAACCCCAACGAGUGUCGCUGGGUCUUUGAAGUCCUCAUUCUUGAUUUACUCCUUUUCCACUUUGAACUUCACCACUUUCUAGUAGUUGCUCCAAUAUUUUUACUUGAUGGUCCCGAAGUUGAUCUCUGAGCUUAAAUGAUGCUCCUACCAUAUUCAACACAUUUAUAAUAAUAGCAAAAAAAUCAUCCACCUACAAGUGUCAAUUGUAAUUGAUAAGCAAAACAAUAAAUGCAAGUUGUUAAUGGAAUUUUCUGCAAAAUCAAAGCUUUAAGACCAUUGAUUUGUCCUUGCAUGUUACUAGCCUCAUCAUAACCUUGUCCACAUAUUUUAGAUGUACUUAAAGAGUGUCUCAUAAGUAGAGAGCAUAUUGUUUCCUUCAAUAUUUUUGCGGAUGUAUCACUAACACAAACAAUAGUAAUAACUCGCUCAUUCACUUUACCUUUUUUGUUUACAUACCUCAACGCAACGACCGUUUGUUCAUGGUGUGAGAUGUCUUUGGAUUCAUCAACUAAAAUCUCCAUCCAAGUUAUCAACUAUAGCUUUUACGAUUUCUUGUGCACAAGCACUCACAAUAUCCUUUUGAAUUUUUGAAUAAGUCAUCAUAGCAUUUUUUGAAAUAUGUUUUAAAAUAACAUUAUUCAAAUCAGGAAUCAUUUUCUCCAGUCAUUCCAAAAAACCUAAAAAUGGCCCUUAUUUUUUAAAGAUACACUUUCAUCAUGGCCUUGAAAAGACAACCUGAAUUCCAAGAGAAAUCUUGCCAUAUUAGUUGAAUCCUCUAAAUGAGUACGGUGGACACUUCUUAUUUUCUCAGAUUGCUUGUUCAAAGCAACUUAAAUUGAUUGAGACUGAUUAUCGAAAUCUAGCAUCUUACUGAAACAUCUUCUAUAGUCGUUAUUUACUUCAUCAACAUGUAAUUGAAAUCGUUUCAAACUAUGAUUGCAAGCCUUAAUGUCCAUUUUCGUGAAAAAAUCACAUGCAUUGCCCUUUACAUAGUCAUAUUUAAGAAAAUAGCAACACAAAAAAAAUACAACAUCUUUAUUCACACUAUACUCCAUCAAUCUAGACUAUGAACCCUCAUACCAUGUCGAAUUAAAUCGAUCCAUUUUCGUUCCAAAUCUAGUUUGAGGAAAUUGAGAAAGAAUCGGUGGACAAGACGCUUGUUGAAUAUAGUGUCUUCUCACUUGAUCUCAUAUCGUAGAAUCAUAUUCAUGAAUUGAUUUUUUUUUUCAAGAUCAAAUUUAAGUGAAUUCACAUCAAACUCUUCUAUAAGAUGAGGAGAAUUAUCUUUAAAACUAGAACUUGAUUGAGGAGAAUAAUGUCUAUCAUUUCAAUUCACAAGAAUCUAUAAACAAAUUCGUACAAAACAAAAAAUUCAUCAAGAAUAUAAGUAAGCAUAACAAUGUUAAUGGGGGAAUCAUACCCUUCCUUUCAAAGCACAUAACAAAUAAAAUAUAAUAGAGAAAUCACACCAUUACAAAAAGAAAAAAUAAACGCAAUACUCUCAAUAGGAAAAUCACACCCCACUUUUCAUAAAAUAAUAAAAAUGAUAUGAUAUGUAAUGAAGGAAUCACACCCUUAAAAAAAUUUAAGUAAACGCAAACAAUUUCAAUAAGGGAAUCACACCCCUCCUCGUAAAAUAAUAAAAAUGAUAUUAUAUGUAAUGAAAGAAUCACACUCUCUUCUUUCAUAAGAAAAAUUAAAUAAAUAUGACAUUUUCAAUUGAAGAAUUACACCCCUCUUUUUAUAGCAAAACAAAAAUAAUAUGUAACGGAGAUAGAGAAAGAGUCUAACUUGUGUUGCUGUCUGUCAGAAUGAUGAAUUUUGUGUUGCCGCCAGUCGUGAUAAUGACUGUAGUAGUGUUUUCCAUGUCUGCAUAUUCUAACGUAUUUUUGCUAAGCUUGAAGAGAAUUUGGGAAAAUUGAAAAUUUUAGAAAUUUGGGGGGAAUGGAUAUUGUUGGUAGUUUUGGGCUUGGGAUUGGGGAAUUGACAUUGAUUUAUUAAAUGAGUUUUGGGCUUAGGAUUGAAGAAUUUGUAUGAAUUUAUUAAAUGAGAAUAUAUAUUAAAUUUAAUUUAAAGUAAGGGUCGGGGCAUAGGGCCAUAUGAGGUGGUAAAGGCACACAAUUAAAUUUUCAAUUGAAGAAUUAUACCCUUUUUUUAUAGCAAAACAAAAAUAAUAUGUAAUAGAGAUAGAGAAAGAGUCUAACUUGUGUUGUCGUCUAUCGGAAUGAUCAAUUUUGCGUUGCUGUCAGUCGUGAUGAUGAUUGUUGUAGUGUUUUCUGUAUCUACAUAUGCUAAUGUAUUUUUGCUUAGCUUGAAGAGAAUCUGGGGAAAUUGAAAAUUUGAGGAAUUUGGGGGAUAUUGAUAUUGUUGGUAGUUUUGGACUUAGGAUUGGAGAAUUGACAUUGGUUUAUUAAAUGAGUUUUGGGCUUGGGAUUGGAGAAUUGACAUGGAUUUAUUAAGGGAAAAGUACACAGAUUCCACGAAAAUGACCAUGAUAUUUAAAUUUUAUUUUCUAGCCAUUUCAAUUUUCUAGCUUGUUCUAUAUAGUUUCUACACACCCUUUAUACAGUUUAUAUACAUUAUCUUAUAAAUAUAAAUAUUCUAUACAAAAAUUAUAUAAUUUUGAUACACAAUUUAUACAAUAAUUAUACAACUUUUUUACGCAUUUUAUACAAUAAUUAUAUAUUUUUAUACACAUUUUAUAUAAUAUUAAUAUAUAGAUACAUAUUUUAUAUAACAAUUAUACUGUUUUUAUAUAAUUAUAUUUAAUUAUCAUUUAAAAAAAAAAAAGCAGUAUAUUUUUCAAUUAAAAAACUUGUAGAAAAAAAACUAAAAUAUUUUUAGUAAAUGGCCAAAUGGCCCAAGUUGGAAAGGCUGAAAAUGACUAAAUGUCUAAUGGCCAUAAAGUGGCAAAUGUUUUGCCGACAAGACACAUAAUGUCCAUAUGUCCAAACAUGGGCUAUUUUUUAAAAAAAUGGUUACACCAUGUCCUUUUUUCAUUUAUUAAAUAAGAAUAUAUAUUAAAUUUAAUUGAAAGUAAGGGUGGGGGCAUAGGACCAGAUGAGGUGGUAAAAGCACACAAUUAAAUGGUUGGAGAAUUAAUUGUAAAGACAAACUAAAAAGGUACCCUUGCUAGGAAUCAAAGUCACAACGUCACGGGCCAGAAACCUUUUCUCCACGUUCUGAACCAGUGCACCCAGAUAAACUUUGUUAUUAUGAUUGCACAAUUUAAUGUAGUACCACUUUAUCACAAUAUCUAUACAUAUAUAUACGAUUUUAUAAAAAAAGUUAUUGGGUGCACGUACACCCUCACGGAUCCAUGUGGAUCCACUUCUGUACCUAAUUAAGGUUAUCUUUUUCAUUCGUUAGUUAAGUAGUGAAACACGUAUAUCAUUAUUGUACUAUUUAAUCAUACUUUAGUUUGACACGAUAAAAAAAACUCUUUAAUUUUGAUUAAUAUUAUGAGAGAGGGUGUCAAAAAGAACUCAAUAAAUUAUGUACUGAUUUUUUAUUUCAUUUUUCAUCUAUAUUGUUACGAAUAAAGUUGUAAGGAUGUGUACGUUGUAUAUAUUUUUUUCUCUAUUUUUAUUUUAUAUAUUUUCUCUCUAUUAAAUUUCUUUAAAUUAUUUUUUUUUAAAUUUCUGAUUGUAGUAAGUUUGUAUUUGUAUUUGAGCUCAAAUUAAUCAUUUGCGAUUUUAUUGAAAGCUUGCUAACUACUAGUCAAAGUCCACAAUUUUCGAUUGGUUGCUCAAAAUUAGGUUUUAAUUUAUAUAUUAAAAUAUAUUUUUAUUUAGUGUUUAUUGUCAUACUUUAAAAGAUUUAUUUGUAAUUAUAUGCAUUUUAUUACUCAUUACACAUCUAUAUUUAUAAAAUUUAAAUUACUUUAAUGAAUCUAUUAAAAUCUAUGUGAGAUGCAGUUACACGUGUUCAGAAAUUAGUAUAGAAAAUCUGCAAAAGCAUUGAGCUAUUGCAACCUUAAUUUAAGUAGACUAAUCAAUUUAUUAGCAUAGAAGAUUUCUCCCUGUCACAUGCUAACAAGUCUAUAACCUGGCGCAACUAUAUCACUACAAGAAAAGUGCUUAUUACUUGAAGAUUUUUACAGGGAUAAUGUGGUAAAAUCAUUAAGAAAUUUGAUUACCUGCUAAUUUUCUUACCAAUUAGAAUACAAAGGAAAUACCUUCAUAGGAAAUUAUUACUUGCGAAUUUAUGAAAUCCCUAGGUAAUUUAGUUGCGGAAAUAAAUCCGCAGGUACAUUAUUUGCGGAUUUAUUUGUGAUUAACUAUUAAAAUUUUAUAUGAAUUAUUUGGUAAAAUUUCAUUAAAAAGGGAUUUUACCUACAAAUUUCUACGAAAAAAUUCACAAAUUAUUCUCCACGAAGGUUCUCAAGUAAAUCCAAAGGAAGUUUAGAGGUGAAAAUUCUUAAUUAACAAAAGAAAAUUUCUUGCGGAUAUUCAUCAAACUAUUUCGCAAGAAAAUUCGUAAGAAAUGCCCCAAGUAAAUCCGCAAGAACAAAUUUUCUCAAGAAAAUUUUCAUGAAUAUUUAGCAUGUACAUCCCCAUGGAAAUUCCCAAGUAACAUUUCACACGUAAAUUACUAAAAAUAUUUCACAAUUAGUCAAAAAUGUAUUCAAAACCUCCAAUAAGUCUCAAAAACACCAUUUAAUACAAGUCUAAUAUAAACCAUUACAGCUAACAAAAAAAAAAAACAUAAUUCAUAACAUCCACAUUAAUAAUAUAUGAGUCUUCAAUGGUCCAAAAUAAAAUAUUUCAAACUUGAAUCCUCAAUAAAACUACCAACCAUCAGGGUCGGAAUCACUUUCAUCCACGUUAUCAGGAUUAGAAUCACUUUCAUUCAUGUCGUCAAAGUCAUCAUCACUUUCAUCCUCAUAAGCUUGUUGUCUUCUUGAGAUGAGUGUUCAUCAUUUGAAGAUGAUUUCUUGUAUACAUGUUUUAUCAACAAGUUCAAUACCUUUCUCAUCCUCCUUCCACAAUUGAUACACUUUGAGCAGUAAUAUUUCUUGUUUCUUUCUUUCAAACUCAUUCUGCGUAAGAAUAUGUUAAUUCAGGCCAUAAAAAGUGCUAAAAAUAUAUUAUUCGCAUAAAUUAUAUGACAUUAUAGUAUCAAAUAAAAUCAUAACAAUCAACAAAUAUAAACAUGUAUAUAUUAGCAUAUAAAGCUUCAUAAACCCAAAGUUGAUUUUUUUAAAUUAUUGUGACUAUUGUUAUGACUUGUUCUAUUAAGAUAACAGGGGAUGAAAUUAGAAGAAUGAGAGAACAAGAGGAAGGAUUCAAGUGGUACCACGUAUUUAACACUUAGUGUGAAGAAAAAUCAUUUCUUAUUUGUUAAAACUCCGUACUCAGUCAAAUAGUCAAAUGGAUUAUACAAGGUACACUGCAAUGGAUUAUACAUUGUUAGGUACACUGCAAUGGAUUAUACAAGAAGAUUUACUCAAUGAAAAAUUCUUAAAGCAGAGAUCUUUUCAUAUAACCAAACAGAUUUAUUUUGUAACUAUACUUUAUUAUUUUCAAGUUAUUAGUACACAUUUCAAGUGACUAGACUUAACCAUUUUCAAGUCACAAAUUCACAAUUUCAAGUAACUACACUUAAUCAUUUUUAAGUCACAAGUUUGCAAUUUCAAGUAACUAAAUUAUUUUCAAGUCACUACACUAAAUAAUUUUUAAAUAACUUAUUCACAUUUUAAGUCACUAGUACAUAUUUCAAGUGUAACGACCUAAAAAUUUAACGAAAUGUGUGAAAUUUGUAAUUUUAUAUGAUUUGACUAUUUUACCCCUCUCCGUAGUUGUAUUAUGGUAUUUUUGGAGUGUGGGAGUGGUUGACAUAAUUUUUGAUGUAUUUUGAUAUCAUUUAUGCAAUAUUGUGAUUUUUUAUGGCUUCGAGAGCCUUAUUUUGGACCAAUAUGGAUAUAUUUUGAUCCGUGCGAUGGAUGGCUAAACGGACUGCGCCAGCAGCUCCGGAAUAUCGACUUUAGGCUAGGUAGAUCUUUGGUUCGGAUCCCGGUGCACCCGAGCUCAUUUCGACCUAUUGAUUGAAAAGUUGAAAAAUUGAAAAUAUGGAUGUGGGACCCACAUUUGAUCGAAAUGACUUUGAAUGAAAAAUCUGACUUUGCCAGCAGAUCCAAAAUGUCAAUUUUAGGGUGUUAGCAUAUUUAGUAUAAUUUUACGGCUUUUAAAUAUCAUUUCGACCCUCGAUUUGAAAAAUUAUAAUUUCGGAUUCGGAGGUCAACUUUGUGAAAAUGAUAUUUUUUUAAAAAUCUGAUAUCACCAACGAGUCCAGAAUAUCGAAUUUAGUAUGACUGCAUAGUUUGUUUGCAUGUAUCAGACUCCGAACGAAUCUCGAACACCCCGUCGAAGUCCGGAGUGGACUUUAAAAAAAAAAAAGCAGCUAUUGCAGAUUUUUCACUUUUUGAUCCAUUUUGCUCAUUUUUCAUGUUGCUUCUUGAGAGUUAAACCUAAAUAGUUUGGGAGCUUAAAGGUGAAGCUUGUGGGAGCUUGAGAAGAUAGAUUAACAUCUAUUUCUUAGUUUUAUUACAGAUUUAAGGUAAAAAUUCACCAUUUUCCUUAGUUAUUUCUUGAUAAAUUUCUUAAAACCUCAAAAAUCUUAGAGCAUGAUUUUAAACCCAAAUUUCACUUGUUUCGCUUGAAAAAUAUUUUUAUCUUAUAAUUACUAGUUUUUCAUCAAUUUAACCUUCAAAACAACUCUGAUUCUUGAUUUUUAACCUGGAUUUAAAGGAUUUUAUCCGGUAAAAUUCAAAAAUGAUUUUUCUUCGAUUUGAACUUCAUUUUUGAAUCAAUUUAACUUGUUUUUUUAGCUGUAGGUUCCUAAAAAUAUGGGGAACAUGUUUUUGAAGUAAAGUUUUGAUUUUGCCCUUCUUUAUCGGAAAUUCAUUUUGGGGGUCCGUUUUGACCCCGAACCAAAAGUAGUCAAUAUAAGUGUCGUUGGUUUUGUUUUGACACAUAGAUUUCAUAUUUGAUGUUUUUAGUAGAGUUUGAAAUUGUUCAUGAAAAGUAAGAUCGCGGGUUCAAGUGUAGCGGAUCGAUUUCGAUUUUCGAGGUAGGUUAUGGCUUAACUCUUCAGACUGAGAUGGGUAGUAAAUGAUGGUACAAAAUCCAUGUUAAGGGUGGGAACUAAUCAUGAAAAUGGCUAUCUAUGUGUUGUGCCCAUGUGGGGGCCUUUGUGUGAUGUAAUUAUCGAAAUUGAGAUAUUAUGUGAUAUGUUUGACCGUGUGGGGUCCUAUAUGAUAUUGAUAGCCUUGAAUACACGUGAAUAAUUAUAUUGUGUUGUUUAAUGUGGUACCAUUGGUGUAUUGUGAUUAUAUUCAUACUUAUUGGCAAAUGAGACAUGUGAAAAUUCAUGGAUGAUAUGAAAAUAAUGAAUGAAUAUUGGCUCAUGUGGUUGUGGGAAUAUUUCAUUAUGGUUGGUUGUGGAAAUAUAUCAUGUGAUUGGUUGUGGAAAUACUCAUUUUGAUUGGUUGUGAGCAUUACAUCUUCAUAUCAUACUCAUUCAUGAAACAUUUGUACCACCAUGGAACAUCUGAGAAACACUGGCAACACCUUUUUUAAAAAAAUAUUGUAACACCUUAUAAAACCCUUUCCGAGGAAUAUGCCAGAAAGGAGAUAUGAGAUAUGUGGAUUGUAUACAGGUUGACGAACCCCCCAUGGGUCCUACGUAGGGAAGCUUUAGCUCCGUAGGUGUAUACGGGGAUUGUGCGACGAUCCCGGAGGUUGUGCGACGAUCUUGUACAUCAUCAUUAUCAUCAUCAUAUACAUUGCACUUACUCUAUUGUGUUUAUGUUGUGUAGUAUCGUCUUAUUGAAUUGUCAUCUAUGUAUUUUCUUUUACCUUCCUUUACUUGUAUUUGAUGAUCUUGUAUCUACAUGUUCUCUCUUAUUCUAUUUAUAUAUGACAUAAUGUAUACUUGUGUUCUAAACCUUGGUGUGUUGUUGUAAUAAAUAUGAGAUAUAUUAAAACUGUUAGUGCAAGCGGUGUGGGCUACUGUUGUAGGACAUCUUCUAAUUGCAGGUGACGUGUCCUUAGUGUAUAUUUUGUAUGCUUUAUUUACUACUUUGCUUGGUCGGCCUAUGAUACCUAUUGAGUACAAGUGGACCGUACUCAUGCCUACUGCGCCCUUUUGGUGCAGGUCUUAGCUCGAGUGCGCCUCAUCUUGAUUGACUCAGGUGAUUGUUGGAGCUUCCAAGGUAGCGGUUGGACAUUCAUGUGUCCGAAGUUCACCUCUAUCUUUCUAUAAUUGUUAUGUCUUUAUUAGUAUUCGGAGACAGUUAUUAUUUCUUUGUGGUUAUUUUUUUGAUGCAUUUGACUCUUGGAUUGUAUUAGUAGUUCUUACACUAUUGACACUUGAUUUUGGGCAUGAUUGGUAUUUUAAAUAAGUUCUUCCGUAUUGUUAUGAUUACUUAUAUGGUUCGGCUUCAUUCUAGAAGCUUUACAAUGGAAUAUUCUGUCUUUUCUUCUUGUUGUAUCAGUUUGGGUGAUAGGCUUACUUGUCAAGAUACGCCACGACAAGUGCCAUCAUGACCCUUAUUUUUGGGUCGUGACAUCAAGUCACUGCACUCAAACCAUUUCAAAUAGCUAAUUGACAUUUCAAGUCACUAUACUUAAUCAUUUUCAAGUAACUACACUUAACCAUUUUCAAGUCACUAGUACACAUUUCAAGUCACUACAGAUCAUUUUCAAGUAACUAAUUCACAUUUCAAGUCACUACACUCAACCAUUUUCAAGUCACUAGUACACAUUUCAAAUCACUACACUUAACUAUUUUUAAAUAAUUAAUUCACAUUUCAAGCCACUAUACUUAACCAUUUUCAAGUAACUACUUCACAUUUCAAAUAAUUAUACUUAACUAUUUUCAAGUAACUACUUCACAUUUCAAAUAACUAUACUUAGUCAUUUUCAAGUCACUACACUUAAUCAUUCAUUUUAAGUCACUAUACUUAACCACUUUCAAGUAACUAAUUCAUAUUUCAAGUAACUACACUUAACCAUUUUUAAGUCAUUAGUACACAUUUCAAGUCACUAUGCUUAACUAUUUUCAAGUAACAACGCUUAACUAUUUUCAAGUUACUAGCAUACAUUUCAAGUCACUACACUUAAUCAUUUUAAAAUCACUAGUAUACAUUUCAAGAUACUACAUUUAAUUAUCUUCAAGUCACAAGUUCAUAAUUUCAAGUAAUUUAGUUCACAUUUCAAGUGACUACACUUAACCAUUCUCUAAUCACAAGUACACAUUUCAAGUCACUACACCUAACCAUUUUAAAGUCACAAGUAUACAUUUCAAGUAACUACACUUAAUCAUUUUCAAGUCACAAGUUCACAAUUUCAAAUGACUACACUUACCAAUUUUCAAAAUUCACAUUGCAAGUAACUGCACUUAACCAUUUUCAAGUCACUACUACACACUUCAAGUCACUGCACUUAACAAUUUUCAAAUAACUAAUAACAUUUUCAAGUCACUAGUACACAUUUCAAAUCAUUACACUUAACUAUUUUCAAUUAACUAAUUCACUUUUCAAGUCACUAUACCUAAUUAUUUUUAAGUAACUAUACUUAAUCAUUUUCAAGUAACUAUACUUUAUUAUUUUUAAGUUAUUAGCACACAUUUCAAGUGAUUACACUUAACCAUUUUCAAGUCACAAGUUCACAAUUUCAAGUAACUACACUUGACCGUUUUCAAGUCACAAGUUUGUAAUUUCAAGUAACUACACUUAAUUAUUUUCAAGUCACUACACUUAAUAAUUUUCAAAUAACUUAUUCACAUUUCAAGUCACUACACUCAAACCAUUUUCAAAUAGCUAAUUGACAUUUCAAGUCACUAUACGUAACCAAUUUCAAAACACACACACUACCAUUUUCAACUCUCUAAUUCACAUUUCAAGUGACUAAACCUAACAAUAAUAAUAAACGCUUGAUCCUAAUAACUUAUUCGGGACCUCCACUUAAGGAUAAAAAAAAAUCAUAUUCAUCCCACCAUAACCCUCGAUUGUGAACAUAACUUCUGACAAUUUGACAAUAGUUACAAAUGAGUGGACUUUCAUGAAUUUGAUAUUUUGCUUUGAGUCUCGAUAAUUUGAACAUAUUUCACGAUUUAUGGAUAGAAAUUUGAAUUAAAACAUCGAGUAUACAUCAGUGUAAUCCUUAAAACAUGGAGUAUGCAUCAGUGUAAUCCAUAAUUACGUUGAGGUUUUAUUCUUUCUUCUGGGGAUCUUUAAUUUCCCAACUGCAACAACAAUGUCAACAACUUUGAAACUUCAAAGAAAAAGACAAUUUUCAGAAUCUAUUUCAUAUUUUCUUUUCAUAUUUACAUGUUUUCUUAUUUAAAUUAAAUUUUGGUCUUACUUUUCCCUUUCAAAUUUAAACAUGUAAAUAAGUUUUCACUUUUCAUUGGCUCUGUAAAAUUGUCACAAUUAGUAAUAUUUUUUCCGUUAUAAAGAGUUACCUUGCCUUCUUUCGAGCUGAUGAUCUAUCAAAACCAGUUUCAUUAUUUCAACAGAGGUAGUCUUAUCACUGACUCCAUUUGUAAUAUUUAUAAAGUUACACUAAGUUUAUUAUUUCACAUAGGUAUUCUUAUCGAGUCUCUAUUAUGAAACUACACUAAAUUUAUUGCUAUUUUUGUAGAAAGUAACUUUACCUAAUUAAUCAGCUAAUUGAUAAUACACAAAUAAUUACUUUCUAACAACGAAAUCAAACUGUUAAUGUGAAGGUUUAGUGUAAUUCAAGGGUAGUAUGUAAAAAUUUAAUGUAUUCCAAGAACAAAUUUAAUCAGGAGAUUUACCUUAUGGAGGAGGGCGUCUGUUGUCGGCGAUACCGGUGGUGUGGACGACUGGUUGGUUAUUGGCGGUUGUUGUGGUUGUCGGCGGCGUUGGUGCGGACAACUUGGUUGUCGUCGAUGGUGAUGCGGAUAGCUUGGAAAUUUCAGCGGCUGUGAAGGUGGCCGGAGUUUAGAGAGAGCAAGAGAGGAGAUGCGGAUGAAAGUUUUUUGAGUGAGUUUAGGGUUUUG